rnacentral:lncRNA from 1 species
UUGGAGAAUGUAUUUGAGUUGUCUGUAAUUCCACAUCAAUUGAUAUCUGGCUUUUCAAAGUUGGAGGUACUCAGGUUGUUUGGGUCCGUUGGUAGGGGUGUAACAGAAGAAGAAGAAGAAGGUAACGUUCUAUGUGAUGAUGCUGAACCUUUGAUGAAGGAAUUGCUGGGUUUGAAGCAUUUAAAUGUUUUAAGCUGGUCCUUCCGAAGUUCACUUGCUGUCCAAAAGUUUUUGAAAUAUCCAAAGCUGGUUAGCAUCACUCAAUCUGUAUGGGUUGAAUGUGGCAUGUAUACAAGGCCACCGUUCAAUGUCUUACAUCUAGCAUAUAUGGAGAAUCUUCAGGAGUUGCGUCUUUCUCAGAGUGAUUUGGAGGAGAUGAAGAUUGACAGCACAGAAGAGGUGAAGAAGCUUUUUCAAAGUGGUUUCCGCAGUCUCAACACAGUUGAUGUAUUUUAUUGCCAAAAAGCGAAGGACUUAACGUGGCUUGUUUUUGUUCAAAACCUCAAGGAGCUAUUUAUACAGUUUUGUAUUGAUGUGGAAGAAAUAAUCAGCGUUGAUAAAUUGGGAUAUAUUUCAGAGAUAAUCGGGUCAGAGCAUAACUUUUUCGCACAACUCGAAUCUCUAACCAUAUGGAUGGGAAUAAAUUUAAAGAGCGUUUACCCGAAUCCCCUGCCCUUUCCAAAGCUGAAGAAAAUUGAAGUACGUGUAUGCCCACAGCUGAAGAAGCUCCCACUCAAUUCCAGCAGCGCGAAGGAACGUCGAGUUGUCAUCCGGGGAGAGAAAGAAUGGUGGGAAGAGCUACAAUGGGAGGAUCAAGCCACCCAAAAUGCUUUCUCUUCCGGUGUCAUACUUACUGAGGAUCCUGUUUAUUAAUAUGUUUGAAUAUGUAUUUCUUUUUUUUUUUUUUUAAUUUUCAUUAGAUUUAAUUGCAUCUUGUUCUUGUUGUCUGGUGUGUCAAUCGUUCCCUACUUUCAGUUAAUAAAAUUUCAGCAGUGGAUUCUUGGUUUAUUAAUGUUUAUAUAACUGAAUUGUUCAGCAGAUGUACUCUGCAUAUGUACUCUGCACAACUAACACAGAAAUAAAUAUAUGUAAGGGGGUACAGGACUGACUCUGCUUCUGGCUUCUAAGGAGAAAGAGGGGAAAAUAAACAUUUUAUCUUCCCUUAACUGCUCUCCUUUGGUUUGAAAUAUGUGACCUUUAUACUCGUCGAUAAAAUUGUAUUUGUCGCUUUAAGUCUUGUUUGUUUUAAAUCCUAGCAUAUGUAAUUAUGUAUGGAGUGGGAACUGAGAUGAUGAUGAAAGAUAAGUAAACAUUAAUUGAAUCUGUUAUAAUUUUAAUAUUAAUUUAACAAGAAAGUGAUAUUAAUUUGCCUGGCCCAUAUGAAAAACAAUUAUAAUUAAAGCUUUUUCUUUUUCUUUAAUUAGUAAUAGAUUUCGGAUAUAAAGCAGACAAAUUUAAUUUCUGCUUCAAUAACUACCCUAUCACUGUGUGCGUGAUCACAUAAUUUUGGACUACCGCUUGUGGAAUAACUUUAGAAAAAGAAAAUUAAUUUUUUUAAGUAACGAUAAAUAUUUUAAAUUUUAUUUUAACUAAAUUUGAAAUGAUGUGAUUGGCAGGUAAGACUUAAGAAUUAGACAAAUUUUCUCAUUCCACAGCUUGUAGAAAAUUGAUACCCCAGGCCUUAUCUAAACUUGGACUUAUCGCCUGCGGUAAAGCAUGAGUCAUGUUUCCAUGUAUGUUUGAAAUAUUGGACGAUAAUCACAACGGCAUUUUGUGAAAUAAUUAAAGUUUUUUUUUCUUCUCCUAUCUUCCAAUGAAAGUGCAGGACCUCAAUUAUUUUAAUAGAGAUGUAGUAAUAAAUUAUUAAUGAAACAUAUCAAAUCCAAUGUAUAGAUAAUAAUAAAAUAAAUAUACAUGGUUUCAAAAAAGCUAGUACAUGUUUCUAUAUAAAAAAAAUUAUCUUAAAAGUUUUUGAACUUUUGUGUUCUCUUUAAUAUUUUUCUCUUAUUUUGUUAUCGUAAUAUAUGGGUACAAGUUCACUUAAUGUAACAUAACAUACUUUUUUUGCUACACACACACACACACACACACACACAAUGUCAUAAUUAUUUUUUUUUAAAAAAAUCAAAUGCCACAACUUAUAUCUUAAUUACCUAAGCCCUAAAGUAACAACAAAAUGAAAGGAGUGGGCCUUUUGACACCCCCUCUAAGAUCCUCCUUUAAAUUCCUUAUAACUCUUUAAUUAAAAUUACUUAAAUAAUUAAAGAUAAAUUAAUUCCAUUUUUAUUUUAGUUGAAAAUUUAAUUAAUACUUAAAUAAAAUUAUUCUUUUAACAUUUUUUCCACCCACCUCAUUUCAUAUAUAUAUAAUUUUUAGAAACUUUUAAUAAUUUAUAAUUCUUUUAAGGUGAAAUUUAAUGAGAAGAUUAUUAAUUUUAAUUUAUAGAUUAGUAUUUUAUAAAUUAAACCAAGGUACUUUGAUAAAUAAAAAUUAAAACAAGUUUUAUAAGGAUUUUGGAGUGUAGGAAUUCAGAAUAUAGAUUUUCAUGUGGACGUUGAAUAUGCUGAAGCUGAAGCUAUGAAUUUUAGAAUAAAAAUGGCAAUAGACUUUGGUUUAACGCCAUUAAUUGUUGAAUCAGUUUCGAAGACUAUUUUAAACUUGGCGAAAGGUUUUGAAAGAAGUAUGAAAGAAAUAUCAUGGUUAAUUUUCGAGAUUCGAAAUUGUAUGGUUGUGAAAGACUACUUCAAAAUCAAUCUUAUAUUGAGAAAUAGUAGUGAGACCACUCAUAAAUUAGAUAAAUAUGAUGUUAACAAUUCGGGCUGUGUAAUUUGGUUGGAGGAAAUUUCAACUCAUGUAAGUCUUUUUCCUUUCAGUGAUUAAUUGAAGCUUUCCAUUUCCAAAGAGAGAUAGAGAGAGAGAGAGCUCAACUCAAAUGAAAGUAUGAAACAAAGAGUAAAUCCUGAUAGCAGAAAAAUGAGCCAUGAGUAGAAUUAUUCGCACCUUUGAAAGCCCUCAUAAAAGUCUUUAUUCAAUAUGUCCUGCUAAAUCAUUCAAAAAAUAAUAUUAUUUCUAAGGGCAGAGCUAUUUGCACUCUAAAAAUUAUUGUCAACACUUUAUUAUUAUACACACUCAUUUAUUAAUUUGAAAAAAUGAAUUAUACUUUGUACACUCCUUAAAGUACUAAAAAUGUACUCAUUUAAUCCUUUUUAAAUUAAUUUACUCUAACACACUCAUGAAAACGCCUUACAUACUCAAAAAAUUUCUCUAAACACUCUUUUAUUAUUAAAAUUUAAUUAUUUGGUUGUAUAAUAUAUUUCUCCAAUAAACGAAGAAUGAUACAGGAGCAACUAAAAAAACCCAUCAAAAUAUUUCACCAAUGAAAAGAUCGUGAGAAAUAAACAUUAUAAUCCGAACAAAUAAAUCAAUUAGCCAAUAUAUCAUUUAGCCAAAUCAAAGAUGUUGCUUGCGCUUCGUAGUUCUGAGCUUAGAAUCAAGUAGAGAAGUGAAGAUGAAAUUUUUAAUUGCUGAGAAUAUGAUUUUGAGGUUGAUGGAGGACUUGAAAGAGAGGGACAAGAAAGAAUGAUUCAGAGUAGGUGCUUGGCAAAAGGGACCCUUAUGACGAUAUUCUUCAGUACAGCUAUGAUGCCACUUCCACCUCCAAUUGAAUGCCAGAAAAUUCAGAGUUUGUCAAAAGAGGAUGGUAAAUUAAGUUGUUUUUUUUUUUUUUUUAAAUCUGGAUUUGGUUGAACAUUUUUAUGUCGCAAAAAUGUCUGCUGGGUUGUAAUGCCUCAGUUGCAGACUAGUUUGUAAGAGUCUGAAUAAUUGUCCAUGUUACUCUGGUAUUGUGGAAUGACAUGUAUUUUUUGGCCAAAAGAAAAAAUCAAGCAACCGAUGUAAACUUGUUUAAUAUCAUCGUAAUAUAACUGAAAAAGAAGUAAUUAUAGUCAUACAAAAAAAAUUAAUAACUGUCAUGUCCUUAAUAGUAAUUUAAACCAUAGAUAUUAUUGUAAUAAUUUUUUUAAUAAAAUUAAAAGUGUUUAGUGUAAUUUUUAGAGUGUACAUAACCUCACCCUAUUUCUAAACCCACGUAGGUUGAUUCCAAAAACACCCUUGGCUUGCACACCAACCGCAUUUUCACAUUUUCUUCGUCUUGCGGAACUUGAAACCCAAAUCUGAUGGCUUCAACUUUCGACUAAUCAUGAUCUCCACUAGAACUUAUAAUUUUAAAAGCUAUUUCCAUAAUAUUUUCAUUAGAAUUUCUUAUAACAACAUCCAACAUUGGUUAUUGAUAUUUUAAGGUUUCAUCUUAAAUAAUAUUAACAAAAUAAUUAAAUUUUUAUCAAAUUUUAAGGAAAUACAUUGUGCUUUGAUAAACAAGGAAUGUCAACUAAAUAUCGUCAAAAUAAAUAAUAAAUUUUUAAGUCGACUUUUGGUUUCACAUAAUUGUAAUUAUGGAGAUUAGUUAUUCGAAUAAAAUUUAAUUUUCUUUUGUUUAUUAUUGUAAAUUUCAAUAGGGACAAAUGCAUGAUUAUAAAAGAAGGGUUUGAGGUUUUUUAGGGGUACCAAUAGGACCACUCAUGAGCCAUAACAAAAAAUUAAGCCCAUGCGAGGCCCACCUAAUCCAUUUUUACAUUUAACCUGAAGAAUCAGACGACAAUAAACAAUAGACCUAAAUAAAAAGAUGAUAUAAAAGUAAGAAUAAUAUUAAGAUCCUAAUUUUUUAGUCUUAACUUCUUAAGUCUUAAAGUCACACGUUAUUCAUUUAUUAGACGAUAGAUUUCAUAACUUGUAAAAUUAUUUAACCACCAUCUAAUAAAUGAUUGUCAUAUCUUUUGAAACUUAAAUUUUGGAAUGCUUAGCAUUGAGCUGAAUCUAAAUUAUUUCAUUUUCCAUUAUUGUUAUUUUAUUUUAAUUUUUUUUUUCACAAUCGGAUUUUGCUUUGAGACAAUAGAAAGCCUUUUCGCUUUAAGCAUGUAUAGUAAUUUGAAAAAAAAAAACAUAUCCAUAAAUUAUCCAUGAGUUUCUGAGAACCAAUUAACUUCAAAAUCUCUUCCAGCGCUAGGAGGAACAUCGUCAAUAACUUUUUCAUGGCCUUUUGGGUAAUAAAUCCCAGUUCUUUCAUGAGGAACCCAACCACAAUUCCCUUCAUUUUCUCCCACAUUAUUAUUCAUCUGCUGGCUCCUCAUCACAUUUCCUUCUUCUGCAUUGGAUUUCAAUGUUGUUUCUCUCAUCAUAUCAUGAGAACUUGUUUUCUUUUGAAAGGAUUUCCUCAUCAUUGGCCUAUAUGUUUCAAAAAGACUCAACAAAUUAAUAAUGCAAAAACAAAGAGUAAAAUAUUCAAACACUCAAAUGAAUGAAAGUAAUCUCUUUUUAUUAUUGCGUGGACAGUGGCGAAAUCAGGAUUUUGGAUCGACAGAUGUCAUCAAUAAUAGAGAAACAACAAAUUUUAAGUAGGUUAUACCACAAGAAUAUAAACAUAUGGGGGCUACAAAAUAAAAUUAUCAGACACAGAGACAAAUUUAAUUGAAGACUUUCAUAUUUCUUGAUAAUUUUUUUUAACCUGAGGCCCCUGUGGAGACAUAUUGGUUCAGUUAAUAAAACAUUUAAUUCUAUGUACUUAACCAACCACUCAUAAUUAGUAAAUAAAUAAUUUGAAACUAUUAGGCCUAUUUCGAACGAACUGUUUCAUAACAAAAUUAAUUUAGAUAAAGUGAAAAGAUUUAUUUACAAACAUACCAUGCAAUAAUGAAGUGCGAUUGUCAAAAUGAAAUGAUGAAAUAGCAAAGUAGAUAGAUAAUGAAAGCAUUACUUGAAAAACAUGGAGUUAAAGGUGGGAGCUCCUCUAGCAAAUGAUACUGUCAUCUUUUUGUUCUUUUUUCUCUCACUUUCUCUCUUUCCAAACAAUGUGGGUGGAAUGAAUUGAAUUAUGAUUUUGAUAGAGAGCUCUUUAUAUAGUGAAGUUAAAUAAGAGAAUAUUGUUAUCCAUUUCUCUCAUCUCUAGGGAGAUCAUUUAUUGUUCCCGUGCACGUCAUUUUCUGUUUGGAUAAAUAUUAAAUUAUAAUACUCUUUCUUGAUCAUUGGGGAGCACUCAUUGCAGAGCAUGGCCUUCUUUUGUUCCCUUUUGUUUUGUUUUUGUUUUUUAGUCAUCUAAGUUAUGGGACAUGGCUUGCGGACUCAGCUUUUAAAAACUUUCCCUAGAUAAGUAGUUGAAUCUAGGGGAGGUACUUUUUAGUCAUAACGAGAUUACACGAUAUAAAAUGAGAUAUAGAGGCGGAUUCACCUCAUGAUUAGUGGGACACAGAGAAUAAUAAAAAAAAAUAUUUGAGUUAUUAAUUAAUUCUGUUGAAUAUAUUAAAAUAGGCAAGUUAAAUUUAUAAAAAUAGUCUCAUAAAUUUAAAAUUUAUAAAAUUUUAAUUUUGAGAAUUGCAAAAAACCACACUUUAAUUAAAAUAUAAAAGGUUAUGAGGUAACCCAUAUAGGUGGUUUACUAUUAUUUAAUUUAGUUUUUAUUAAAUCUAUAAAAAUGAUUUAUAUAAACUCAUCAAGCUAUAAAAUUUGAGUUUUCGCAUUGUGUUGUUAUAUAAUUUAGCCAUCGAUAAAUCAUUUUUAUGAAUCCACCACUGAUAACAUAAAUAUAAAAAAAUUAAGUGCUCGAUUUACCUCACGCAAAUAUGACAUAAUAUUUUCGUUAACUGUCAUAAGAAACUUAAAAAUGGUAGUCAAUUAAAUAAACUAUGACCAUUGACAAAAAAUUAAUGAAAUUGUAACAGAUAUACAAAAAGAUUUUAAAAUCAUUUUGCCCUUAAGUUGAUAUAAGAUGAGUCGUUAAUAAUUGCAUGUGCAAACAUCGUAUAUUCUUUAUAAUUAAUUGUGCAGAUUUUGAUGACCAUUUGGGUGUAUUGGGGUUAUGAAUUUUGUGAGUUUUUUCCACUUUUGUAAAUUCUUAUUUGUUAGUAAAAUUACAUUCCAGUUUUUGCCCAUGCACAUAGGCAAUACGCCGAACCACGUAAAUUAUUGUGUCCUAUUUUCUUUCCAUUUGUUUAUCACCACAUUUAUAUUUCUCCAGAAGUUGUAGUAUUAGUAAUUGCUCAACCCGUGUUUCCGUAACACCCAUAAUAUUUUCAUUAGAAUUUCUUAUAACAACUUCCAACAUUGGUUAUUGAUAUUUUAAGGUUUCAUCUUAAAUAAUAAUAACAAAAUAAUUAAAAUUUUUAUCAAAAUUUAACGAAAUAUAUUGUGCUUUGAUAAACAAGGAAUGUCAACUAAAUAUAGUCAAAAUAAAUAAUAAAUUGUUAAGUCGAGUUUUGGUUUCACAUGAUUGUAAUUAUGGAGACUAGUUAUUUGAAUAAAAUUUAAUUUCUUCUGUUUAUCAUUGUAAACUUGAAUAGGGACAAAUGCAUGACUAUAAAAGAAGGGUUUGAUAAGGAUUUUUUGGGGGUACCGAUAGGACCACUCAUGAGCCAUAACAAAACUAAGCCCAUGCGACGCCCACCUAAUCCAUUUGUACAUUUAGCUUGAAGAAUAAGACGAUAAUAAACAAUAGGCCUAAAUAAUAAGAUGAUAUAAAAGUAAGAAUAAUGUUAAGAUACCAAUUUUUUAGUCUUAACUUCUUAAGUCUUAAUGUCACACGUCAUUCAUUUAUUAGACGAUAGAUUUCAUAACUUGUAAAAUUAUUUAACUACCAUCUAAUAAAUGAUUGUUAUAUUUGUUGAAACUUAAAUUUUGAAAUGUUUAACAUUGAGCUGAAUCUAAACGAUUUCAUUUUCCAUUAUUGUUAUUUAUUUUAAUUUUUUUUUCCCAAUCGGAUUUUGCUUUGAGAAAAUAGAAAGCCUUUUGGCUUUAAGCAUGUAUAGUAAAUUGAAAAAAAAAUUAUCCAUAAAUUAUCCAUGAGUUUCUGAAAACCAAUUAACUUCAAAAUCUCUUCCAGCACUAGGAGGAACAUCUUCAAUAACUUUUUCGUGGCCUUUUGGGUAAUAAAUCCCAGUUCUUUCAUGAGGAACCCAACAACAAUUUCCUUCAUUUUCUCCCACAUUAUUAUUCAUUUGCUGGCUCCUCAUCACAUUUCCUUCUUCCGCAUUGGAUUUCAAUGCUGUUUCUCUCAUCAUAUCAUUAGAACUUGCUUUCUUUUGAAAGGAUUUCCUCAUUAUUGGCCUAUAUGUUUCAAAAGACUUAACAAAUUAAUAAUGCAAAAACAAAGAGUAAAAUAUUCAAACACUCAAAUGAAUGAAAGUAAUCUCUUUUUAUUAUUGCGUGGACAGUGGCGAAAUCAGGAUUUUGCUUCGACAAAUGUCAUCAAUAAAAGAGAAACAACAAAUUUAAGUAGGCUAUAACACAAAAUAAUAAUAAUAAUAAUAAGAGGGCUACAAAAUAAAACUGUCAAGUCACAAGAGAAUAUUGUUAUCCAUUUCUCUCAUCUCUAGGGAGAUCAUUUGUUGUUCCUGUGUACGUCAUUUUCUGUUUGGAUAAAUAUUAAAUUAUAAUACUCUUUCUUGAUCAUUGGGGAGCACUCAUUGCAGAGCAUGGCCUUCUUUUGUUCCCUUUUGUUUUGUUUUUGUUUUUUAGUCAUCUAAGUUAUGGGACAUGGCUUGCGGACUCAGCUUUUAAAAACUUUCCCUAGAUAAGUAGUUGAAUCUAGGGGAGGUACUUUUUAGUCAUAACGAGAUUACACGAUAUAAAAUGAGAUAUAGAGGCGGAUUCACCUCAUGAUUAGUGGGACACAGAGAAUAAUAAAAAAAAAUAUUUGAGUUAUUAAUUAAUUCUGUUGAAUAUAUUAAAAUAGGCAAGUUAAAUUUAUAAAAAUAGUCUCAUAAAUUUAAAAUUUAUAAAAUUUUAAUUUUGAGAAUUGCAAAAACCACACUUUAAUUAAAAUAUAAAAGGUUAUGAGGUAACCCAUAUAGGUGGUUUACUAUUAUUUAAUUUAGUUUUUAUUAAACCUAUAAAAUUUGAGUUUUCGCAUCAUGUCGUCAUAUAAUAUAGUCAUCGAUAAAUCAUUUUCUUGAAUCCACCAUUGAUGACAUAAAUAUAAAAAAAUUAAGUACUCGAUUUACCUCACCCGUUAACUGUCAUAAGAAACUUAAAAAUGGUAGCCAAUUAAAUAAACUAUGACCAUUGACAAAAAAAAAUUAAUGACAUUGUAACAUAUAUACAAAGAGAUUUUAAAAUAAUUUUGCCCUUAAGUUGAUAUAAGAUGAGUCGUUAAUAAUUGCACGCGCAAACAUGGUAUAUUCUUUAUAAUUAAUCGUGCAGAUUUUGAUGAACAAUGCACCAAAGCCACAUGGUAAAAAUCUCCCUUAUGUUUUUGUUUUGAGAAAGUUGCUGAAUCAAUGUCAUGACGCUAAUUUUCAAAGCAUGAAAACAGAAUGAAAUUAAAGAAACCAUAGUGAUGUAUCUUGUUUGCAUACUGGAAUGAAAUGUUGAUUUAGGCAAAUUUAGGAUGUAAAGUGUAAACUAAGGUUCACAUAAAAAUAAUAAUAAUAAUAAUAAUAAUAAUAAUAAUAAUAAUAAUAAUAAUAAUAAUAAUAUUAUUAUUAUUAUUAUUAUUAUUAUUAUUAUUAUUAUUAUUUUAAUCCAUUAAGAGAAAAAGGUUGUAUGCUCAUCAACCCAUUGCAAACUUUUGGCUUAAGAUUAAUAUGAGUAAUACAACACAGCUAUAUCAUAUCCCUAAACUUGAAAAUUAUUUAAAAAGGACCAUGAAUUGAUGAGGAUGAUAAAAUUAGCAAGGUUUCUAUUUUAUAAGUGUUUGCCAUAUGAUAUAUCAUUAAAAUGUUGUCCGUUUAUAUAUAUCUCAUGUUUUAUUUAUUUUAUGUAAGGAGAUUAGGGAGACCACAUAUUGUAAUUCCCCUUGUGAAUGUUUACUGGGGAGAGAAAUGAAAAAAAUUCAUCAAGUGUGUAAUCCUGAAUUUGGUUGGUGGAGUCUUCAACAACAGCUCAAAAACUUGCCUCCUCGGUUGUUGGUCACCUCAAGAAAUAUCGCAAACUGUUAGCAAGAACCUGCAAAUUUGAUCAAGCAAAGUCUAAUCAGUACAUCAACGAUCGUGCAAGUCUUCAGGCGCACCGUGUGAUCAUUAGCACGUUAAUGUUCUUACCGCCCACUUCAAAGUUUAAAUUCAAAUCUUUUAUAUAAGAACAGUUUUGCAACUAGAAUACCGAUUUUGAGUAGAAAUGGUAAGUCUCUUUAUUCUUCAGAGCAAACAAUCUAUAAAGCAAUUUCCGAUGUCCUAUAUGUAGGCCUGUUGUUUUUACCUGUUGGAGAGGCUUGAUAAUGGCUUUACCCUUGUAGCUGACAUGAAACUUUGCCUUAGCCAACAGCCCCUGGGUGCGAAAACAAAAAUUAGAACAAAAUAUAUUAAUAAGGGAAGGCCACUCUUUUGUCAAUAUAUAUAUAUAUAUAGAGUUUGUUAUAAAAGAUUACCUCAGUAUCAAACUCUCCCGAUUCAACAUUGACAUUGAUGACAGUGAAAAUCUUUACAAGAUCCACCAAUAAUCCUGGUCGAUCAGCCGUCUCCACCAAAAGCAAACUUCAAUAAAACAAAAGGUAAAAUAAACAAAAAUAGUAGGAAAAUACUUGGUAUCUAGAAGGGCGAGAGAAACACGAGAGAAACGGCAGCACAUGCUGCCGUUUCACUCCCAAAAUCUCUCGCCUUUUUUUAAUUAAAAAAAUUAAAAAAUUAAUAAAAAAUAAUAAAGAAAACAUAAUCUUAUCUGCUCCUUACUCCAUUUUUGCAACUCUCUCACCAUCUCUGUCGAGUAGCUCUCUCUCUCAUUGGCUCUCACUAUUUCACGAUCUCUCUCUCACUCACACACUCCUUUUCACGAUCUGAAAUUUUCUGGCCUUCUGCAACUCUUACAAGAAAUUAACGCUUUGGUUCUCACAAGGAUAGAUUGGGCAGGAAAUUGCCACUUGGGCUGGAGUAUGAGUAGUAAUAGUGUGGGACCAAAGUUUGGUGGAUAGCAAAAGCUCCAUCAUCUAGAUAAGAGAAUGAAUUAUGCAUUACCUUCGCUUGGGGCCAUCAAUAUCAUCAUAGAUGCUUAUGUGGGUUGCUAUGUCCACAUCAACCUGACAAAUUCCAGCACAACAAGAUUUGAGACAAGAUUGAAGUGGGACGUUAUCCUUCCCAUAAUAACUCAUAUACGUAGUUUUUAACAUUCAUGACAACAUGAUAUUAAUUUCAAUGGCAGGCAAAUUGAAUAUAAUGUCUUUAAAGAAAAUGAGGAUAAAAGUGAAGUAAUAUUUGGCCCAAGAGAACUCUAAAAACAACUUAGUUUCCUAUUCAAAUGAUCCACUAGUGAGAAGAGCCCACUACAAGAAAAACUGACCUAUUAUGAUAGGUAAAAACUGUCAUCGUAGGGGGUAAAUGAUGGUUAUUCUUACCGUCAUUAUAGCCAGCGUCAAGAAAAGAUGACAGAUAAAAUCGCGUCACGAGUUGUGAUAGAUUUUACCUAUCAUAAUUAUGUCAUACUACUUAGAAGAGGGAAAUUAUUAUUUUUUUUAUAUUUUCAUUUUUUUAGAAAUUUCUUGGAUUGUAUUUUUUUUUUUUGGGAUAUCAAUUGUGUGUAUGACUAGCAUUUUCUAUCACAAUUUUUUUGAAAAAUUUGAUUAUUUAUUUUAUUUAUUAAUUUAAAAUAAAAAUUAUGCAAUUUUAAAAUUUAAAUUAUUAAAAUUAUAUGAAAUAAAAUAAAUUACUAAAUGCAAAUAAAUCCAAAACCAAUGAACUAAAUUAGUGAACUUUAUUAACCAUAAAAAUAUCCAAAGUACAUUACAUUAGUUAAUCAAUAUUCCAAAGUCAAGCCAAUAGGCAACAAAGGCCAAUCCAAAACCAAGCAAAGUACUCCGCAUUCUGCAACAUCCAGCAACAAACCUACACAAAAUGUAGUCUUCCAGCGGCAAAAUCCAGCAGCCCUAAAGCCAAGACAUGAAAAUUCAUCCAGCAUCAAAUCUAUGCAAAAUGUAGUACUCUGGCUAUUCAAUCCACUAACUAAUUAAUUAAUUAAUCAAGCAAACUAACUUAUGUAAUUACACUGAAAUGGAAGUGGCACACCAGAUUAGCAGCAAUGACAGGUGAGGUGGUAGUUAAAGCCCAAACAGCAAGAAAGCCACAAGCCACACCUUUAAGUUCUUUUGAUCUUUUGUAGCUGCUACUACUACUACUACUACUACUACUACUACUACUUCUAAUAAUAAUAAAAACCAUCCUAUUAAUUUAUACAAGUCCCAAUAUAAGUAUAUAACUAAACAUAGGGUUCAAGAGUUCCAUGUCUUAAAAGUUACAAUCACAGAGACAUUUCCAAAAUGGAAAAACGAAGAUAAAGCUUAUAAAAAAUAAAUAUACCUAUUUAGUAAUUUAACAGCCUCAUAAACCAAUCAUGGACACAUUUCCAUCGACCCGCAAGUAAUCAAUCAUAGCCUUCAGAUUAUCUUUCUGAAAAACAAGCCAUCAACUUCAGACGGACCUUAAUUACAAGAAUAAAGUCCAACAAGACAGGUAAUUGAUCUCAUAAGUGAUUUUUUCCCCUUUAAAAGUUAAAAUUUUUUAAAAAAAUUACUAGCUGUGUAAUUUCUUCCCGCUAGUUAAUCAGCCACCAACUUCAUUCAAUCAUAGAGUAAAAUGCUCUCCUACAGAGAGCCCAGAUCCUGAAAAAUCUCCUAUAACUUUCAUUAUUCAUUUAUUAUUCAAUUGGAAAAUAAUUUCAAUGAGCCAAAUUCAUAUAAAAUAUAGAUUUAGAUUCUCGCGAUCCUUAAAUCUCCUAUAAGUUAACACAACACAGUCCUUCAAAAAGCAAAGCAACAUUAUGUCAACAUAAAUUAAACAAUAUAUGAGUGAUGAACUGUACACCUAGACUAAGCACGAGCAAGAUUAAAUACAACACUUCAUCAAGCUUUGCCAUGAAUUGUAUCAGAUUUGCUUUGCGAAUGAAUAUAAUAAGCUUCAUAUUCCUUCGCUCCUCAUAGGUAGAAAUGACCUGCAACAAUUAAAGUGCCAAGAUUCAUUCAUGGUUUUUAUCAAACACUUGGAGGGAAUACAAAAAUAGUAACUAUAUCCCCAAUUCGAAGGUAGUGAGCAUACGGCUACAUGCAAGUAUAUAUCAAUAUGUAUAUAUCUUUUAGGAAUUCUAUGCCUUGAGGUUGUUAAUUGUGGUGCUAGCAAGCUAUGUUAUUAAUUGGUAUAAAUUUUUGAAUGGUACAAAAGGCGUGAGAUUCAAACCAUGCUCAUAUGAGUGCGGAGAGUGGAAAUUGAGUAGAAACCACAAUACUAUUGAUAUUCUUAGAGGAUCUUUCCAUGUGACAUUCAUUCAAAAUUGUAACUAAGAGCAAAAUGCUUAACGAUUUUUAAUGCAUUGUACACAUAUCUAUCAGACAAUAUCUUGUAAGAUCGAAAAAUUGAUAACAUUCCCUCAAGACAAAUGAAAAAUGGAAUUGAACUAGUCAAUAUCUGCAUUACCCAAAAGAGAAACAAGGGAUGGGGAACUCUGAUGAAAUAAUAAAUUCUCUGCUCGGUACAAAAACAGCCACUGGAAACACACAUUGGUUGGAUCAUAUUGACAUUAUUUCCAACACACACAAUAGAAACAAUACCAAUUGCCCACCAAGUGCAUGACUCAAUGUGCGCCCAGCCUGACACCACUUCCUGCACAUGCGACUCGGCCCACAAUCACCACUAAUUUCAACGAAUUAGUGAAUUUAACCAAUGAAAUUUAAAAAAAAAAAAGACUUUGCAUCACAGUGAACUAAUUUGAGAAUUAUCUUUAUAUAUAGUUCCAUGCAUGCCACAAAAAGUGAAAAAAAAAUUAGUUAUUAGAAAACCCCAAUGAUAAAGCAGCCUAGACAAUAUCCCAACACCCAUCACCAGUAAAUUGGCAAGGAUCUUUACAGCCUAAAUCAAAUUUAACAAUAAAACUAUAAUAAUUAGAUUCCAAAAAAAUCAAAUAAAUGUUUAAAAUUCCAUAAAUAAAGAAACAUAGAAGACCAAUCAAAUAGAUCCAAAUUUAACAAGAGCACACCUAGGAUUUUCAAGUUUUACAUGUACAGGGUUCAAAUUUGACAAGAAAACAUCUAGGCUUUUCAAGAUUUAGGUGUGUAGGGUUUGAAUUUGACAAGAACACAUUUAGGGUUUUUACGUUUUACAUAUAUAGGGUUCGAGUUUGACAAGAACAUUAAAAUUGAAAUGAAACACAACACUAGAAAUAUUAUUUACCUGUAUUGAUCGAACGGUUACAACAGUGGGUGAGCGAGGGUUCUCGGUUAGGGUAUUGAAAUUCAAUAGUAGGAGCACAUGCGUUUGGUGGGUAUUCCAUAUAGUUCUCAGUGAGAGCCAAAAUCGAUAGUGAAAUACAAGAGAAUGGCGGCAGUGGUUCAGUGCCCAUGCAAGGAUUUCAGACGAAAAGGGCUUUGUGAGUGCGAGAUUGACGAGAGUGACUGAGCGAGAGACGAGAGUGAGAGUGCCAACACUUGGGGAAAAAAAAUUCGAUGAGUGAAAACUGAAGAGGGUUUUGUUUUUAUUUAGUUUCAAUCUAAACGGUGACGUUUCUUGUCUAAAGAGAAAUUUUUAAUCCAAACGAUCCCGUUUAUUCUUUAUUUAUUUUUUUCAUUCAUUUUAAAAUUUUCAGUCAACCUUGUGAAAUAAAGUCAAAAUAAAAAGCUACUUGAUGAUCAAAAUUAUAUCACAAACUUGUCAUUACUUCUUGAUAAUCAAAUAAUUUAUCAUUAGUCUAUCAUAAGUGUUUGAUAGAUGAAAUUUCUAUCACAAGUAUGUCAUAAAUGAAUGCUAGAAAAAAAUUUAUCAUCCAUCCGUUGUAGUAGCUCUGCAGACCAAAAACUGUCACACAGAGGACUGUCAUGGUAGGUCAUUUUUCUUGUAGUGGCAAAAAAUAUCAAUAAUCUGAAAAAUUAAAAUAAGACCAAAAAGCAAAAACCUGUUGUUUUGGAGGAUCAACGCCAAAGGUAACACCCAUUGCCAACUGGGAACUUGAUUCCUGAUUCCAUCACCAACACAAAUGGAAUAAGGUUUUCAUAAGACAAUUCCUAUAGGUGCUCCACCAAGUGAUAUCUCAAGAGAGACAAAAAAAUGAUUACCGGGUGAUACUGAAGUAGAUUGUUUAUAACUAUCAAACGAAUUGCCUCAAGCACCUCAGGAUCAUCAACUUUCCUACCAGUAUCACUGCACACAAGCAUCAUGACCAAAUUAAUCAAAACCACAGUGGGAAUCUAUUGCAAGAACUGCUCCAAAAAACAACGAUGGCUCUUUGGAUCAUUGAUUUUAGGUUCUAGUAUGUCUAAAAUUUUAACGAUUUCAACAUUAGUGAUAAACAUGUAUUUGCAAUAGACUGAUCAUACUUGUAUAUGGAGCAUCAAAAGUAGGUAUUUACUAUGCUCAUCAAAUAUAGACUAGAAGACGUUGACAAAAAUUAAAGGAAAUUAGUGAAUGAAACUGCAAGCAGAGAAUAUAAAUCAGCUUAGUAAUGCAAGGGCAUGAAAAGCAAAAUGCAUAUGCAUCACAAAAUUAUAGAGAUAUAUAAUUUCACAGUCAUAUGAUGAUAUUGCAGCGGUGAAGCCACGCGUGAGGUUAAGGCAAGCGAUGGAAUGACUUGUGUUACAAAAGAGGUAUGUGAAGUUGCACUAUAAAAAUAAAAUAAAUUUGUAUUUUCAAGUAGUAAAGGUGUAGUUAGUUUAUUUACCAUGAUUGCGUCCUGGAUAGAAAUUGAAUCCAUGUUUAAGAAUUUAUCAACGGAGAGAAAAUGUCAAUACAAAGUCAAUGCGAAUGAAUAGUGAAGUCAGCAGUCGCAAAGGCAAAGUUCUAAACCAAAUGUACUCCAGAUAGAUUAGCGGUAGCAGUUUCACAACUGACAAAUGAACAAAGAGUGGUUGCUUGUCAAAUGGGCUUUGGUAGUUUGUUACAACUGAACCGUGGCAAGCUGAAAAAGAAACUUUGUGGCUAGUUAAUUGAGAUCAUAGAUACUGUGAGGUACUGAUAAAUUUAUGAAAUGAGAGUUAUUACAUCAAUUCUAGACUUAAAUCAAGAUUACUUAGAGAGCAAAUAAGGUGUUUUUAUUACAUUUUGGUCAUAGUUUGCAUAAACAUUCAUUUUAGUUGAGUCUUAAUAAGUUUUGCUUGAAUCAAAGUAAUUUGUACUCAAAACAUGUGCAUAAUUGUAGGUUUUCAAAAAUUCUUAAUUCAUGAAGGGAUGCUGUUAGAGUACAAUUUAUGCACUAGUUUUGCAUUGUUUACUUCUCUUAAUAUCGAUGUUUUGCACUUAAUAAUAGUGAUUUACUUGUGUUUUACUUUUGUAGCUGCAAUUCUAUUGAUUGGUGAUAAAAUUGAGCUAUAAGAUGAUGUUUAAGGAUGAUUGUUCUCUUGGAGAAAUUAUGAGCGUCAGAAGAACUUUGUUGAUAAGGCGUGGGCGCGUGCUGUCAACUGCGGACCUGCAGUUUUUAGUUUAACGUAUUUUGUAUUUUUGGUUAUUUUUGUAAUUACAAAUUUAAUAUUUCAGAUAUUAGUAUUUUAUUUUAAAUAGAAUUCUAAAAGAGAAGAGAGAGAGAGUAUUUAAGGGAGGAAUCUAUUGUGAAGGAUUUGGAUUGGAGAAAAAGAAAGAAACCCUAGAUCUAAUUUUUCUCUUCUCUCUAUGAAGAACUAAACUUAUUUUCUGGUUGAAGGAUAAUGAAGCUUUGAUUCAUCACUACUGUGAGAUCUUUUUUUUAUGCUUUAAUUGUUUUAUUACUUUUUGGGUAUUUGUUUAUUUUCUGAAUUAUUUUCAUGAUUAUGUUUGUUAAUUAGGUAAUUGGCCACUAUUUAAUUAUCAACUUAAUCUAUUGUCAAUUAAAGGAUUCAUUGUAUGAAGAAUUUAAUGUUUGUGACAAAUAACAUAGCAGAGAGUUGUGUUGUGAGAAUAAACAAUCUAAUUUAAAUGAAUCAUCAUAUGUGUUGAUUAGGAUUUGGGUCUCUCUGGUUUUUCAGGCUGUCAAUUGAUUAAAUCAUAUGAUCGUAUCGAGGGUUGUCUAUUGAUUAGGGAAAUAUCCAACGGUCGUACCUUGGUUAUCGACUAGUUAAGGAGAGAUUGGCUAUUAGAGGGUCUCAAUAGCUAUAACCGGUCUAUUCAUAAGUAAUAAUAAUCUAUAUUUGAAUCAAUGAUUAGUAGUCGAAUCAAGCUGAGUUAAUUCCUUCAACCAGAGCUUUCUCCAAUUUGAAUUACAACUUUAAUUUGCAUUCUUGUUAUUUUAAUUUGAUUUUUAUUAUUGUCAACAAAACCCCCAUUUUAUGUUUUACGUUUCAAAAGGAUUUAAAUAAUUACCGAUCUCUGUGGACACGACCCUGCUCAAUCACUAUACACAAUUUAUUUAGAGUAGGAAUUUAUUUUUGUUGGCUUCGACACCCAUCAGAUGCUGAGGCAUUAGACUAGCAAGAGGAUGGAAGAAAAUGGCCGUAAAAGAAGUAAAGCACAAUCGGGAACAGUGCAAUGUUGUAGCUAUUGUUAGAGCAACCAUUGCUGUAGCAAUUUGGGACCACUGAGGGAGAAAACUUAAGCGCGGGUCAGCUGCAGAAUUGUGAUCUGCAUGUUUCCUAAUUUAAUUCAUGCACGCCACGAACUUUUAUUUACCCUAGUUUGCAGUAUAAAAGGGGGGCGCGCACCACAUAAAACUGCGGCAAGGGAAUUAUCAUUAAUACAUUAGAGAAAAGAGAAGAAGAAGAUCGGAAUUAAAGGGGACGGCUUCAGCAGAAUUGAGAAAUCCUGCAGAGUUAUUUGGAUUUGCUUUUUGACGUUCUCAACUUAUACUUUUCUUAUUUCUUUAACUGUUCUAAUGUAUCUCGUGAACAAUAUAUUAAUGUUUUUUUUUCUCAUUCAGUUGACCACCCAUUUAAUAGUUCAAGUUAAGAUAGAGCCGCAAAAGGGCAUGUCUUAGCGGAUAUUAUUAGAGUAUUACUUGAUCUUAAUUUAAGUUUCCUGGAUUAAGUUAUCUUGAAUCCCAUAAGGGCUAUACUUGAAGUUAAGAUUUGUGACACACUAGACAUAGGUGCUCACCUUAUAGGGUGGAGAGACUAAAGGGUCAUAAAGCCAUAUCAUAAGUAGAUUAGCAACUGGUCAUUGCUAGUAUACUUAAGGGUAUGAGAGUUCCAAUACGCAACAGCUGAGGACGCAGAUUCAGAAAUAGCUCUUGACUUGAAUUUUGGUUUUGGCUUUGCAUGAAUCCCAGUGUAAAUCCUGUAGAAAACUUACAAUCUUCAGUGAACCGCGUAAAACGAGACUUACUUGAGUGGGUUGAGACUCUUCUCGAAGACUUUCUUCGCUUCGUCGAUAUCUUUGGAAUCUUCCAAACAUCUGUUAUGACACUCAAGGAAGAGCAGUUUGCUGCCAAAGUUGCUAUAAGGAAAAAAGACGACGUAAAGAUAGCUUCGUAUUUGAAAUCAAGAAAAAGAUUGGCCAAAGAGAUGCUUAAGCUUGUCAGUGAAAUUCGGUGUAUCGGCCAAUACCAGGUACCGCCACCAAUGCUGGCGUCCGUUAUAGAUUCUGAGUUAGCCGGUGUCGUCACUGAUGCUGUUCGAGUGAAAUUUCUCCAUCAUCAUCUAAUUCUAGUACGCGAUCAAGUGGCAGUCUUUUCUUUCUCAACGCCAAAAGCUUAAAAAAAAAAUAUUACAACCCAUUACAGGCCAGCUAAGAUAAAUCCCUGUAUGAUUUUCGCGCCAAGGAUCGUACUGUCACUAGGGAUAAUAUUAUCUUUUCAAAGUUAACUACCAGUCAAGAGAAAAUUUAACUAACGGCAGGGGGUUUUUUUUACAAAUAAAACGAUUUUGGCCAUCUACUUACAAUAGCCUCAAACCUCAGGGGAGGUUUUUAAAAAUUACCCCCGUGGAAAAAUAAUAAUAGUUGAAAAGACAUAGGGUACUUUUUAUUUUCCUUUAUAUUACUAAUAGAUUUCCCACGCGCAACAGACGAAGUCAUUGCUGCUUUAAUAAUUGCCCUAUCACUGUGUUCAUCAUCACAAAUUUCUUUAUUACGUUUGUGAAAUAACCUUAGCAUAACAAAAUUACUCCUCCUUUUUAACUAAUAAUAGAUAUCUCAAAUUUUAUUUUCAGAAUAUGGUAUGUAAUGUAAGUGAUUGAUAGUUCUUUAUAAAAUAUAUAAAUAAAUUAAUUGUGUUAUCUUAGUGUCUAAUAUAUAUAAAUGACUUUCUCCAUAUAUUGCACUAUUGAUAUGGGCUAAAGUUUUAUACUAUGAGACCCAAUUUCUAUAAUUUACACUAUAAGUUACAAGUAUUUAGGAAAAUACUAUUACAAAUCAGAAGGUAUUAUCUAUUUUAUACCUAAAGCAUUUUCACUAUUUAAGACUAGUAAAACUUCUAUAUUAUUAUAAUAUUGGAAUCAAACACCAAUAAACAAGUAAAUCAUCUGGAAUGAGAAUGUUCUAACUUAACCAAGGUCCUCGGUUUGAAACUUAGAAAUGCAACUACAUUAAAUACUUAUUGGGAGAGACUUGCCGCUUUAGUGGUCCUAUCCGGCUCGAAUCUAGAUUAGUCGGGGAUCUAAUGUGGUCUUUGGAUACUAGAUGAUUUAAUAUACCGAUAAUAUUGGAACCAAACUAAUUUACAAUUAUGAAGAGGUUAUAAUUCAAUAGAGGCGUAGUAACAAACUAUUAAUAGAGCGUAUCAAAUUUAAUGUAUAAACAAAAUUCUAUAAUUUACACUAUAAGUUGCAAGUAUUUAGGUCAAUACUAUUGCAAAUCAGAAGAUAUUAUCUAUUUUAUGCCUAAAAUAUUUCCACUAUUUAAGGCUAGUAAAACUUCUAUAUAAUUAUAAUAUUGGAACCAAACACCAACAAGCACAUAAAUCAACUAGAAUGGAAAUGUUCUAACGUCAAGGUCCUCGGUUCCAAACUUAGAAAUGCAACUACAUUAAAUAUUUAUUGAGAGAGAUUUGCCGCUCUAGUAGUUCUAUCCAGGUCGAAUCUGGAUUAGUCGGGGACCUAAUGUGGUCUUUGGAUACUAGAUGAUUUAAUGUACCAAUAAUAUUGGAACCAAACUAAUUUACAAUUAUGAGGAGGUUAUAAUUUAAUAGAGGCGUAGUAACAAACUAUUAAUAGAGCGUAUCAAAUUUAAUAUUGGAAUCCGAUGAUUGGUUGCAACAUAAGAUAUUUGUAAGCUUAGUUAAAGGUUCAUUAAAAAUUAUAGAGAUAUAUAAUUUCGCAGUCGAUGAAGCCGUGCAUGAGGUUAAGGCAAGUGAUGGAAUGACUUGCGUUACAAAAAAGGUAUGUGAAGUUGCACUAUAAAAAUAAAAUAAAUUUGUAUUUUCAAGUAGUGAAGGUGUAGUUAGUUUAUUUGUUGUAGCAGUUUCACAGCUGACAGAUGAACAAAGAGUGGCUGCUUGUCAAAUGGGCUUUGGUAGUUUGCUACAACUGAACUGUGGCAAGCUAAAAAGGAAACUUUGUGGCUAGUUAAUUGAGAUGAUUGAUACUGUGAGGUACAUUUUAGAGUUGAAUGGUAUUAGCUUUCGAACAAGAUCAUCAAAGAAACUCUACCAACUGGGAAAUUUAAACUUAAUCUAUGCUCCGCAAAUUCGGAUAUUCUCUAAUAUGAAACUACUUUUAUGUGUUUUGUUAUUCCUAGCUUUUACCGACUUGGUAACGUUGUUAUGGAAGCAUGACAACUAUUAUGUCCGUGCAAUUUUUAUUGUAUCUUUUGUUAUGUCACGAUAUUGAAGCUUAGUUUUCUGACUCCAAUUACUAAGAACUGCAAUUGCAACAUCUUUUGAAUAUUACAUAUAUGCUUGUAGUAUCUCGACGGAUUAAAACCUGCUAUUUAAGUUCUUCUCCCCCACCCCCCGCCCUUCUUCUUUCAUUUAUACUUGCUGCACCAUUUACUUCACACUCUGUAAAGCCAAAUGAAAGCUUGUUCAUUUAUGUUCACUUGCAAUUCAAAAGCACAGUUUAUUUCAACUGUCAAAUUGACUAGUUGCACGUAUAGAUUUCAGUCGAAACAGGGUUAUUGGUCGAUCAAGAAAUUGAAUCCAUAUGGCCGUUCCAGCGUUAUUCAACCACCUAAUUUCAAAUAUAUAAAUUAAUUCAACCCACUUCUGUGUCAAAGGCGUGGAACAAAUUAUGAAAGAUUUUUCAGCUAUCAUAAAUUCGAACGGGUGUAGUUUGUAUCCUUUCGGACUUAGACAGAUUUUCCUUCCAUUAACCUUACAGUGUUAGUAAUCCUAUUACUUGUUUUUACAGCUUGAAUAGUAUACCGAAAUUUUUGGCUUUUGCAACAUAAACUUGUAUGUAAUGUACAUUUUAUUGUUCUUUACAAAUUAAUUGCUGCUAAAAUAAUUGUUUCAAUGGCAUGAUCUGCAUCCCCGGUUUGCCUCUUGGGCUACGAACCUGCUUAACAGCUGCACCAUCUUGCUCCUUUUCAUCGAACGGCAACUUCCCUACAGACAAAAAGACGGGGUACACGGUACACUGCCCAGGGUCACCAUAAACGCAGCCCAAAAAGAUGAUUUUGUCUUUCCAUGUCUUAGUAUUUUAACCAAUAAUAAUAAUAAUAAUUCUUUAUAUCAUCAAUUAUUGCACUUGUAAGCCAGGCAAUAGUAUUUUUAUUAAAUAAAAAAUUAAUGUCAAAAUUUAUUUAUUUAUUUAUUUUUUUUAUCUAGCUAUCAUUGACUUAAUAUUUUGAAUCUUCAUCCAAAGUUAAGGCACAAAACUUUUAUUCUAAAUAAAUAUUCUCAAUAUAAAUUUAUCACUUAAAUAAUAAAUAAUAAGAUUUAACAUUAAUUCUGUCGUUACUGAAAUGAAUUGUAAAUUUUAUAUGACAUGUAAACGUAUCAUUAUGUUCUUGAUAUUUGACAUAUGAAUUAUAAAGCAACAAAUGUAUCAUAUUUUUAUUUCGGUAUUGUGCUUCUCUAAAAGUAACCCUCACCAAAUUAGCUUAAUUCUUUUCGUUGUACUCAUUGCUUCUCUUCCUCUUUUCGUCAACGACAAUGGGUAACCUAAUCUCAACCUUCUUACCAGCAGACUUAUUUGAUCGUUUUUCAAACUGCGUUGGUGAACAAGCAAAAUAUGUAUGGGGUCUCGAAAAAAAUCUUCGGAUCUUGGAGACUGAAUUGCACAAAUUGACUCGAGCAAGGGCCGAUCUGAAGACCAGGGUUGAGGUCGAACAACAACGACCUCGAACCAGACGAACGAACCAGGUCGCAGGGUGGCUUGAAGAUGUGCAAAAUCUUGAAACUGAAUUUGCCGAGCUGGAACGAGUCAGAGCUCAAGAAAUGGAUAGAUUGUGCCUUGGAGGCCUCUGUUCCAAAAACUUCGUUUCAAGCUACAAUUACGGGACUAAGGUGGUCGAGUUGACGGAUCGAGUCAUCAAUUUAAAGAAAGACGGAGAAAAAAUUGAAGUCGUUGUUGAGAAGGCGCCGGAUGGUGCAGCAAUUGAAUUACCUCUUGAUCACACAGUUGUUGGUCAAGAACUAUUACUUGGUCAAGUUUGGAGAUGUAUCACUGAUCAGGAAAAGAACAGGGGAAUUAUCGGCUUGUAUGGUAUAGGGGGAGUCGGCAAAACUACCCUUUUAAAACAAGUCAACAACAACUUCUGCCAUCAACAGCAUAAUUUUGAUGUUGUUAUCUGGGCGGCUGUGUCAACACUUCAAGAUGACAUUGGAAAAAGGAUUGGCUUUUCAGAAGACAGAAACUGGCAGGAAAAAAGUCUUCAAGACAAGGCUAUGGACAUCGCUAGCAUUCUAAGCGGAAAGAAGUUUGUGUUGUUAUUAGAUGAUAUAUGGGAGCCCAUUGAUUUAACACAGUUGGGUGUCCCUCUUCAAAAUCUAAAUGAUGGGUCCAAAAUAGUCUUGACAACUCAUUCAGCUGGUUUUUGCGAUCAAAUGGACGCUAAAAAGUUGGAAGUGUCUAGUUUGGCACAUGAUGAAGCCUGGAAAUUAUUUCAGGAGAUGAUCGAAAGAUCCACUCUUGACAGUCAUACCAGUAUUCCAGGGCUAGCCGAAACCCUGGCAAGAGAGUGUGGUGGGUUGCCGCUGGCGCUUAAAACAGUGGGUCGAGCCAUGAAAAGCCAAAGGAAAGUUGGAGAUUGGGAACGUGCAAUUAAGAAAAUGAGAACAUCAGCUUCUAAAUUCUCAGGUAUGAAAGAAGAGGUGUUUUCGCGUUUAAAGUUCAGCUAUGAUAGUUUGUCUACGGACGAACUUCGUUCCUGUCUCCUGUAUUGUUGUUUAUAUCGUGAAGACUACGAAAUUCCUAAAAGGGAAUUGAUUGAUUACUGGAUUAGUGAAGGAUUUGUGUGUGAUUUUGAUGAUGGAUGCGAUUUUAUUGAUGACCUUCUUCAAGCAUGCUUAUUGGAGGAAGAAGGCGAUGAUCAUGUAAAGAUGCACGAUAUGAUUCGUGAGAUGUCAUUAUGGAUAGCGUGCACGGUAGACAAGGAGGAGCAGAACUUUCUGGUUCGCGCUGGAGUUAAAUUGACCGAAGCACCAAAGGUUGAAGAAUGGGAAGGUGCCAAACGGAUAUCUCUGAUGAAAACUGGAAUUCAAAGCCCAUCGGAAAUUCCCACGUGUCCUCGUCUCGUCACUUUUCUUCUGGAUGGAAAUUGGAUUGAGGAGAUUACUGAUGGCUUCUUUCGAUCGAUGUCUUCUCUUAGAGUAUUAAGUCUACGAAGAAAUCUUGCCCUAAGUAAACUACCUUCAGGGAUUUCAAAUUUGGUUUCAUUGCAUCAUCUUGAUCUAUCAUGGACUCGUAUACGCGGGUUGCCGCAGGAGCUGAAGGCGUUGGAGAAGCUGAGAUAUUUGAGCUUGGAGGGUACACGGCACUUGUCUAUAAUUCCACAUCAAUUGAUAUCUGGCUUUUCAAAGUUGGAGGUACUCAGGUUGCUUUGGUGCGGUCUCUGGAGCAGAAAAGAACAAGAAGAAGGUAGCGUUCUAUAUGAUGAUGCUGAACCUUUGAUGAAGGAAUUGCUGGGUUUGAAGCAUUUAAAUGUUUUAAGCUGGUCCUUGCACAGUUCACUUGCUGUCCAAAAGUUUUUGAAAUAUCCAAAGCUGUUGAGCAUCACUCAAUCUGUAGGGGUUUACUUCUGUCAAAGUCCACCGCUCAAUGUCUUACAUCUAGCAUACAUGGAGAAUCUUCAGGAGUUAGUCAUUUUAAACAGUGAUUUGGAAGAGAUGAAGAUUGACAGCGCAGAAGAGGUAAAGAAACUUUUUCGAAGUGGUUUCCGCAGUCUCAACACAGUUAGCGUAGAUUAUUGCCAAAAAGCGAAGGACUUAACGUGGCUUGUUUUUGCUCAAAACCUUAAGGAGCUGCGUAUAGAUUCUUGUUAUGAUGUGGAAGAAAUAAUCAGUGUUGAUAAAUUGAGUGAUAUUUCAGAGAUAAACGGGUCAGAGCAUAACUUUUUCGCACGACUCGAAUAUCUAACCAUGUGGCGGGGACCAAAUUUAAAGAGCGUUUACCCGAAUCCCCUGCCCUUUCCAAAGCUGAAGAAAAUUCAAGUAUUUCAUUGCCGACAGCUGAAGAAGCUCCCACUCAAUUCCAGCAGCGCGAAGGGACGUCGAGUUGUCAUCGAGGGAACGAAAAAAUGGUGGGAAGAACUACAAUGGGAGGAUCAAGCCACCCAAAAUGCUUUCUUUUCCUGUGCUGUACUUUGGGAGCAUCUUUAUUAUUAAUAUGUUUGAAUAUGUAUUUCCUUUUUUCUUUUUUUUCUUGCUAUAGAGUUGCAUGAUUGUGAUAUCCUUAUUAUUAUUAUCCUUUUUUUUUUUCACAUGAAGUUCAGUAACUACUUCCGAGAGUAAUAAGAUCCAACUCGUUUUUGGUUUGGUCAAAAACUUUUUGUGGCCCCAAAUCCUUUUUAACACCAGGCCAGGCAUAGCCACUUAGGCUUGUGGCUCAGUGGUAAAUCAUUGCCCUUAAAAUUAAGAAUGAUCCUUAUUAUUAAAAUGUUGGCAUAUUUAUGGAUUGGAAACUCAGAUGCUGAACUCAUAGUAAAUAUUUAGUUAAUUUGUUAUAAUUAUAUUUGGUAAAAAAAAUAAUUAAAUUUUUUUCUUUUCCUUUAUAGUGUGUUUACUUGUCAGUAAUCGGAAUGGGCUGGAAUUGGAAUGGGUUAGAAUCAGAAUAAACUGGAAUGAGAAUGAGGAAUAGGAAUCAAAAUAAGUUGUUUACUUGAACUGUAGGAAUUGGAAUCAGAAUGAGUUAGAAACCCAUUGAUGUGUUUACUUUAUCUAAGAAUCAGAAUUGGAAUCGGAAUAAGUUAAGUUGUUUUAAGUUACUAAAACACCCUUAGUUGUUAAUAAUAAUAAUAAUAAUAAUAGUUGUCCUUUGGUAUUAAUGAUAAUAAUAACAAAUUUAAUAAUAACAUUAGAAAGAAAUAAAUAAUAGUAAUAAUUAAUGAUAAUAAUGAAAUUAAAUAACAACUACUAAUACUACAAUAAUAAUAAUAAUAAUAAUAAUAAUAAUAACAUUAAUAACAAAUAAGCAAACAAUGAAAUAAUACAAACACCAAUCUAUAUAAUUUUAGUGUACAAUCAGUGGCCAAACAAUAUAAGAAAUUAAUAAUUUAAAAUAUAAAAUUAUAAUUCCCAAAACAAACAUCGUGCUCCUCUUCAACGGAGGUAGUAGAUCGCGACGGCAAACGGCGGCAGGACGAGCGCGACCACGGCGGCAACAGAUCGAUCGCGACUAAUCGCAGCAGCAGAUCGUGACGAACGGAAGCAGCAGAUCGCAACCUUUUGACACCCCCGCUAAGACCCUCCUUUAAAUUCCUUAUAACUCUUUAAUUAAAAUUAUUUAAAUAAUUAAAGAUAAAUUAAUUCCAUUUUAUUUUGAUUGAAAAUUUAAUUAAUACUUAAAUAAAAUUAUUCUUUUAACAUUUUUCCACCCACCUCAUAUUAUAUAUAUAUAUAUAUAUAUAUAUUAGAAACUUUUAAUAAUUUAUAAUCUUUUUAAGGUGAAAUUUAAUGAGAAGAUUAUUAAUUUUAAUUUAUGGAUUAGUAUUUUAUAAAUUAAACCAAGGUACUUUGAUAAAUAAAAAUUAAAACAAGUUUUAUAAGGAUUUUGGAGUGUAGGAAUUCAGAAUAUAGAUUUUCAUGGGGACGUUGAAUAUGCUGAAGCUGAAGCUAUGAAUUUUAGAAUAAAAAUGGCAAUAGACUUUGGUUUAAUGCCAUUAAUUGUUGAAUCAGACUCGAAGACUAUUUUAAACUUGGCGAAAGGUUUUGAAAGAACUAUGAAAGAAAUAUCAUGGUUAAUUUUCGAGAUUCGAAAUUGUAUGGUUGUGAAAGACCACUUCAAAAUCAAUCUUAUAUUGAGAAGUAGUAGUGAGACCGCUCAUAAAUUAGAUAAAUAUGAUGUUAAGAAUUUGGGCUGUGUAAUUUGGUUGGAGGAAAUUUCAACUCAUGUAAGUCUUUUUCCUUUAAGUGAUUAAUUGAAGCUUUCCAUUUCCAAAGAGAGAUAGAGAGAGAGAGAGAGAGAGAGAGAGAGAGAGAGAGAGAGAGAGAGCUCAACUCAAAUGAAAGUAUGAAACAAAGAGUAAAUCCUGAUAGCAGAAAAAUGAGCCAUGAGUAGAACUAUUCGCACCUUUGAAAGCCCUCAUAAAAGUCUUUAUUCAAUAUGUCCCGCUACAUCAUUCAAAAAAUAAUAUUAUUUCUAAGGGCAGAGCUAUUUGCACUCUAAAAUUAUUCUCAACGUUUUAUUACUAUAUACACUUAUUUAUUAAUUUGAAAAAAUGAACUAUAUUUUGUACACUCCUUAAAGUACCAAAAAUGUACUUAUUUAAUCCUUUUUAAAUUAAUUUACUCUAACACACUCAUGAAAACGCCUUACAUAUUCAAAAUAUUUCUCUAAACACUCUUUUAUCAUUAAAAUUUAAUUAUUUGGUUGUAUAAUAUAUUUCUCCAAUAAAUGAAGAAUGAUAAAGCAGCAACUAAAAAAAUCCAUCAAAAUAUUUCACCAAUGAAAAGAUCGUGAGAAAUAAACAUUAUAAUCCGAACAAAUAAAUCAAUUAACCAAUAUAUCAUUUAGCUAAAUAAAAGACGCAGCUUGCGCUUCAUAGUUCUGAGCUUAGAAUCAAGAAGAGAAGUGAAGAUGAAAUUUUUAAUUGCUGAGAAUAUGAUUUUGAGGUUGAUGGAGGACUUGAAAGAGAGGGAGAAGAAAGAAUGAUUCAGAGUAGGUGCCUGUGACCCUGAUGACGAUCUUCUUCAGUACAACUAUGAUGCCACUUCCACCUCCAAUUGAAUGUCAGAAAAUUCAAAGUUUGUCAAAAGAGGAUGGUAAAUUAAGCCCCCUUUUUUUUUUUAAUCUGGAUUUGGUUGAACAUUUUUAUGUCGCAAAAAUGUUUGCUGGGUUGUAAUGCCUCAGUUGCAGACUAGUUUGUAAGAGUCUGAAUAAUUGUCCAUGUUACACUGGUAUUGUGGAAUGGCAAGUAUUUUUUGGCCAAAAGAAAAAAAUCAAGCAACCAAUGUAAACUUGUUUAAUAUCAUCAUAAUAUAACUAAAAAGGAAGUAAUUAUAAUCAUACAAAAAAAAUUAAUAACUGCCAUGUCCUUAAUAGUAAUUUAAACCAUGGAUAUUAUUGUAAUAAUUUUUUUUAUAAAAUUAUGAGUAUUUAGUGUAAUUUUUAGAGGGGUGGGGCUAUUUGAACCCACUAAUUUACUCAAUAAACCCACUUUAAAAAUAAUUUUUUAUCAUUAAAAUACCCCUAAAUUAAAUUACAGUUAUGGACACUAGAAUAUAAUUAAAAAAAAAACAGAAUUUUUACUCUUUAAACCCAUCUUUAUAUUCAACAUAGUUUUAUAGAACCCUAAUCAAAUUUUCAUUAAACCCUAAUCAAUCAAGAGGUGAGAUUCUUCUCUCAAGCCAUAUAUAUUGUUAAAUAGGCACAUGUGAGUUGAUUCAGAAUAACAAAAUUAAUUGUUAUUGAUUUGAUGGAUAUUGAUUUUAUGGAGGAUUAAUUGUUUAAUUGCUAUGAUUCGUUUGGGAAUGACCCCUCACUCAAAAUUGUUUAAUUAGUAUUGAUGAUUAAAUUUUCAAUUAAUAAUCAAUUAUUGUUUUUUCCCAAAUUCUGAAAAAAAUAUUUUUUCUCAAAUUCCUCAUAUUAGAUUUUCAUACCAUCAUACAAGAUUUUUCUCACCACACUAUAAUAUAACUCAAAAAAAUAAUUUCAUGAUAACAACUAUUUUCUCCAUUUAGAAUGUUUUGAUUCAUUUGUCCUUGAACGAGGGCCAUUCACUCAAAAUUGAUUAUUAAAUUUCCAAUUAAUAAUCAAUUUCCAAUCUAAUGGGUUUAUAAAUGAACAUUAUGGGUUUAAUGAGUAAAAUUACUAUUAUUAUAAAAACUGGGUUUAGAAAGGGCAUAUUAGGUAUUUUAGUGGGUUUACUGAGUAAAAUUUAAAAUUUUAAAAUUUAAAGAUGGGUUUAUUUAUUAAAUAGGUUUAUUGAGUAAAUUGGUGGGUUCAAAUAGCCCCACCCUUUUUAGAGUGUAUAUAACCUCACCCUAUUUCUAAACCCACAUAGAUUGAUUCCAAAAACACCCUUCGCUUGCACACCAACCGCAUUUUCACAUUUUCUUCGUCUUGACGAACUUGAAACCCAAAUCUGAUGGCUUCAACUUUCGAAUAAUCAUUAUCUCCACUAGAACUUAUAAUUUUAAAAGGGGGUUCCCCUAUGAUGCUGUAAUUUUUUUACAACAUCAAUAAUGUUUUUAAUUGUGCACCAUUGGAUUUAAUCAACGGUACACAAUAUUUGUAGGCAAAAAUAAAAAUAAAAAAUAAUGGUAAACGGUUAACAAACGUAUAAGGGGUGGAGAAGUUUGUAAAAUAACUAUGACCACCCUUAGAGUUUGAAAUAAUUUCACUUAAAUAGCAUAUUUUAUUUAAAAUUAUUUUUCAAUCCCCCUUUAAAUUUGAAAUGUGAUAAUCUUUUUUAAAUAAAUCUUCCAAAAUCUAUUACCAUUAAGUAUAAAAUAUAAUGGUAGGUUAUUUAACACAAAUCAAAUAAAUAAGUUGCAAUUGCAAAAUUUAUAUAUGAUAUAACACUAAUAAAUAACACAACUAAAUACAUAUACUUAAGUAAAUGUCAUAGUUACAUCAAUAAACUCAUUGUUCAGAUUGCUUGUAACAUAAAAAUUACUUGAUCACACAUGUUUUAAUAAAAUUUAAUAUCGUAUAUUAAAAUACUAAUUAUUUUAUAAAACAGUAAGGGUCAUUGUAUAAUUGAUCAUGAAGUAUGUAUUAUUUUUAAUACCCAUUUAACAUACUUAUUUUCUUAACUUUAUAUUUAUCUUACAGUUAAUAUCCUUACAUGGUAGGAGUUUUAAGUUUUAUAAGCUUAUAUAUUUUCAUUUUAUUUUCAAAUAUCACUUUGUUAAUUUCAUAAAAGUUACUUUUGUUAUGAUAGUUAAUAGUGAUAAUAAAUAAAAUAUUGCCUUCAAUAAUAUUUACGUGGGAAAAAAAGUGAAAGAAAAUCGUUUAUAUUUUUAGAUUUUUAUUGACAUGGUAGGAAAUUAUCUCAGCCUUAUAAAACUUAACUUUCACAAGCUUGUUUUUAUUUUAUUUUCAAAUGUCACUUUGUUAAUUUCACAAAAGUUAAAUCUAACACAUAUUCCUAAUUAACUUUAGUUUAUGAAUCAUGAAAGAUUAUUUUAUUGUUAUUCUUUGAUAGUAAUUAUAAAAUUUAUAUGCUACGAAGAGUCAUUACUUUUAUUAUGAUAAUUAAUAGUGACAAUAAAUAAAAUAUUACAUCAAAUAAUAUUUAAUGGACAAAACGAGGAAAAAAAUCAUUGUAUGUUUUUAUAUUUCCAUUAUAAAGAUAUGGUUUGUGAUACUUUAACUUAAAAUUUUGGCACAAUAUUUGAGCCACUAAUAUCUCAUAUUCUAAUGGUUGAUAUUGAAAGUCAAAGCAUCAUUUUAUAAUGUUAUAUCCUCCACCAUUGAAUAGCAUGAAAUAAAUAGUUUAAUUUUUUGAUAAAAAUUUAAAUCAAAAUAUUUCUCACUCUAUAGUUAUAUAAACAUAUAUAUUUUUCAAUAAUAAUUGGUGAAUAAAAUAUUUCUCAUUUGCUGUGACUCAUAUAGUAUUAUUAAUAAAACACAUAUAAAAUAGUUUAUUGCAAUACUUUCUAUUAUCAUUAUUGUUUAGGUAUUAAUGGUUUGUAAUUAAAUUCAUACAAUACAAAUUAUUACAAGACUUUGUGUUAAAUAGCCUACUUGAUAUUAUAUUUUAUACUUAAUGGUAACUGAUUUUGGAAGAUUUAUUUAAAAGAAAUUAUCAUAUUACAAAUUUAAAGGAGGGCUGAAAAGUAAUUUUAAAUAAAAUAUACUAUUUAAGUGAAAUUGUUUCAAACUCUAAGGGUGGUCACAAUUAUUUUACAAAAAUUAUCUACCCACUUGAACGGUUACCAUUAUUUUUAAAUUUUUUUUUAGUACAAAUAUUGUAUACCAUUGAUUAGAUCUAAUGGUUCACAAUUAAUACAUUAUUGAUGCUGUAAAAAAAUUUACAGCAUCAUAGAGGAACCCUUUUAAAAGCAAUUUCCAUAAUAUUUUCAUUAGAAUUUCUUAUAACAACAUCCAACAUUGGUUAUUGAUAUUUUAAGGUUUCAUCUUAAAUAAUAAUAACAAAAUAAUUAAAUUUUUAUCAAAAUUUAAGGAAAUACAUUGUGCUAUGAUAAACAAGGAAUGUCAACUAAAUAUCGUCAAAAUAAAUAAUAAAAUUUUAAGUCGAGUUUUGGUUUCACAUAAUUGUAAUUAUGGAGACUAGUUAUUCGAAUAAAAUUUAAUUUCUUCUGUUUAUCAUUGUAAAUUUAAAUAGGGAUAAGUGCAUGAUUAUAAAGGCAGGGUUUGAUAAGGAUUUUUUGGAGGUACCAAUAGGACCACUCAUGGGCCAUGACAAAAUUAAGCCCAUGCAAGGCCCACCUAAUCCAUUUUUACAUUUAGCCUGAAGAAUAAGACGAUAAUAAACAAUAGGCCUAAAUAAUAAGAUGAUAUAAAAGUAAGAAUAAUGUUAAGAUACCAAUUUUUUAGUCUUAACUUCUUAUGUCUUAAUGUCACACGUCAUUCAUUUAUUAGACGAUAAAUUUUAUAACUUGUAAAAUUAUUUAACCACCAUCUAAUAAAUGAUUGCCAUAUCUAUUGAAAUUUAAAUUGAAACUUAAAUUUUAGAAUGCUUAGCAUUGAGCUGAAUCUAAACGAUUUCAUUUUCUAUUAUUGUUAUUUUAUUUUAAUUUUUUUUCACAAUCGGAUUUUUCUUUGAGACAAUAGAAAGCCUUUUGGCUUUAAGCAUGUAUAGUAAAUUGAAAAAAAAAAUUAUCCAUGAGUUUCUGAAAACCAAUUAACUUCAAAAUCUCUUCCAGCGGUAGGAGGAACAUCUUCAAUAACUUUUUCAUGGCCUUUUGGGUAAUAAAUCCCAGUUCUUUCAUGAGGAACCCAGCCACAAUUCCCUUCAUUUUCUCCCACAUUAUUAUUCAUCUGCUGGCUCCUCAUCACAUUUCCCUCUUCUGCAUUGGAUUUCAAUGUCGUUUCUCUCAUUAUAUCAUGAGAACUUGCUUUCCUUGGAAAAGAUUUUUUCAUAAUUGGCCUGUGUGUUUGAAAAGCAUUUAACAAAUUAACAACACAAAAACAAAAGACUAGAAGAUUCAAAUGCUCAAAGGAAUGAAAGUAAUCUUUUUUAUUGUGAGGAUAGUGGCGAAAUCAAGAUUUUGGUUCGACAAAUGUCAUCAAUAAUAGAGAAACAAUAAAUUUAAGUAGGUUAUAACACAAAAAUAUAAAAAUAAGAGGGCUACAAAAUAAAAUUGUCAAGACACAAAGAUAUAUUUAAUUGAAGACUUUCAUAUUUCUUGAAUUUUUUUUCAACAUGGAGCCUCUGUGGAGAACUAUUGAUUCAGUUAAUAAAACAUUUAAUUCUAUUUACUUAACCAACCACUCAUAAUUAGUAAUUAGAUAAUUUGAAACUAUUAGGCCUAUUUCGAACGAACUGUUUCAUAAUAAAAUCAAUUUAAAUAAAGUGAAAAGAUUUAUUUACAAACACACCAUGCAAUAACAUAGAUUCUAUAAUGAAGUGAGAUUGUCAAAAUGAAAUCAUGAAAUUGCAAUAUAGAUAGAUAAUGGAAACAUUACUUGAAAAACAUAGAAUUAAAGGUGGGAGCUCCUCUAGCAAACGAUCCUGUCAUUUUUUUCCCCCUUUUUUCUCUCACUUUCUCUCUUUCCAAACAAUGUGGGUGGAUUGAAUUGAAUUAUGAUUUAGAUAGAGAGCUCUUUGUAUAGUGAAGUUAAAUAAGAGAAUAUUGUUAUCCAUUUCUCGGGUCCGCCUACGUUACAUGUAGUGUAACGUACACUCAGCCUGUGAAAUUUCAUCUAGCCCCUUAUACUUUCUGUUAUUUAUAUUUUAUUCAUAAAUAUUAUAAAUUUUUUGAAAUGUACAAUUUUGUUUAACCCCUUAUACACUCAAUUUUAUUUUAUUAAAACCCUAGAGUAUGAAUUCGCCCCUAUAAUAUUAAAUUCUCAAAAUAACCUCUAUUUAAUUAAAAAAUAUAAUUAUUGUUAAAUGAAUUAUAAUUAUAAUUAUUAUUUUAUUAUAAUCAUAAAUAUUUUUUUAAUAGAUUAUUGUUAUUAUUAAUAACAAGAAUAAAAAGCAUUAUAAUUAAUCUAUUAACAAUAAUUAAUAAUAUUUUUUUAUUAAAUUGUUAAUAAUAAUAAUCAAUGAUAAUUAAUAUAUUUAUGAUUAUAAUAAAAUAUGAAAGGAGAGCGGAGACUUUUAUUUUGAAUAAACUAGUUCCGAUUAACAUAUUUAUGAUUAUAAUAAUAUUUUUUGAGUUGUUUGGGCAAGGGGGUCUCAUGCGUGUGUGGACUUUUAGGCUGCCAGGAGAGCGGAGGCUGGAAAAAUACCUUGCGUUUAGAUAGUGACUUGUGUGUGAGUAAUAACAAUUUUUAUUAUAAAAAUAAGUUUUAUACCAAAUAUUAAAAAAAAUCUAGAUAAUCAUUAAUUAUUAUUAUUAUUAACAAUUUAAUAAAAAAUAUUAUUAAUUAUUGUUAAUAGAUUAAUUAAUUAUAAUGCUUUUUAUUCUUGUUAUUAAUAAUAACAAUAAUCUAUUAAAAAAUAUUUAUGAUUAUAAUAAAAUAAUAAUUAUAAUUAUAAUUCAUUUAACAAUAAUUAUAUUUUUUUAAUUAAAUAGAGGUUAUUUUGAGAAUUUAAUAUUAUAGGGGCGAAUUCAUACUCUAGGGUUUUAAUAAAAUAAAAUUGAGUGUAUAAGGGGUUAAACGAAAUUGUACAUUUCAAAAAAUUUAUAAUAUUUAUGAAUAAAAUAUAAAUAACAGAAAGUAUAAGGGGCUGGAUGAAAUUUCACAGGCUGAGUGUAUGUUACACUACAUGUAACGUAGGCGGACCCCCAUUUCUCUCAUCUCUAGGGAGGUCAUUUAUUGUUCCCGUGUACGUCAUUUUCUGUUUCGAUAAAUAUUAAAUUAUAAUACUCUUUCUUGAUCAUUGGGGAGCACUCAUUGCAGAGCAUGGCCUUCUUUUGUUCCCUUUUGUUUUGUUUUUGUUUUUUAGUCAUCUAAGUUAUGGGACAUGGCUUGUGGACUCAGCUUUUAAAAACUUUCCCUAGGUAAGUAGUUGAAUCUAGGGGAGGUACUUUUUAGUCAUAACGAGAUUACACGAUAUAAAAUGAGAUAUAGAGGUGGAUUCACCUCAUGAUUAGUGGGACAGAGAGAAUAGUUAAAAAAAAUUAUUUGAGUUAUUAAUUAAUUCUGUUGAAUAUAUUAAAAUAGGCAAGUUAAAUUUAUAAAAAUAGUCUCAUAAAUUUAAAAUUUAUAAAAUUUUAACUUUGAGAAUUACAAAAACCAUACUUUAAUUAAAAAAUAAAAGGCUAUGAGGUAACCCAUAUAGGUGGUUUUACUAUUAUUUAAUUUAGUUUCCAUUAAAUCUAUAAAAAUAAUUUAUUUAAACUCAUCAACCUAUAAAAUUUGAGUUUUCGCGUCGUGUCGUUAUAUAAUUUAACCAUCAAUAAAUUAUUUUUCUGAAUCCACCACUGAUAACAUAAAUAUAAAAAAAUUAAGUGCUCGAUUUACCUCACGCAAAUAUGACAUAAUAUUUUCGUUAAGUGUCAGAAAAAACUUAAAAAUGGUAGCCAAUUAAAUAAACUAUGACCAUUGACAAAAAAUUAAUGAAAUUGUAACAGAUAUACAAAAAGAUUUUAAAAUCCUUUUGCCCUUAAGUUGAUAUAAGAUGAGUCGUUAAUAAUUGCACGUGCAAACAUCGUAUAUUCUUUAUAAUUAAUUGUGCAGAUUUUGAUGACCAAUGCACCAAAACCACAUGGUAAAAAUCUCCUUAAUGUUUCUGUUUUGUGAAAGUUGCUGAAUCAAUGUCAUGACGCUAAUUUUCAAAGCAUGAAAAUAGAAUGAAAUUAAAGAAACCAUAGUGAUGUAUCUUGUUUGCAUACUGGAAUGUGAAAAAACUUGUUUUCAUUUCUUAAAAUAAAACAUUAUACACUGAGAGUUAUUUAUAGAUGCAGAGACUACAUUUUGUCAAAGUUUACAUAUGUGAAUACGGAAGGAAAUGUGUCAAUCCGUUCGGCGCGGAUCUUGUCUUUGACAAGUGCAGAUUAUCCCUUUGACAAGUGCGGAUUAUGUCUUUGAAAACUUCAUUCAAUGCCGUUUUAUUUGAUUCUCAACACUCCCCCUCAAGCUGGUGCAUAGAUGUCUUGCAUACCCAGCUUGUCUAGGAAUUUUGUAAAUGCCCUGCUUGAAAUGGCCUUCGUUAAAAUAUCUACAAGUUGAUCUUCUGAUCGAAUUUUCAGCAGUUCUAAGAUUUUUUCAUCUAAUUUCUCCUUGAUGAAAAAUCUAUCUAUCUCGACAUGUUUUGUUCGAUCGUGUUGAACUGGGUUAUGAGCAAUAUCUCGUGCAGCUUUGUUGUCACAGUAUAGUUGUAUUGGUUGUUGUGAUGGAUAGCCCAAAUCGUUUAAGAUAAAGCUUAUCCAUAGCCCUUCACAUACCCCAAGGGCCAUGCCUCGAUAUUCUGUUUCAGCGCUCGAACGGGCAACGACAUGUUGUUUCUUGCUUCUCCAUGUGACAAGGUUGCCUCCCACAAAGGUAAAGUGUCCUGAAGUAGAGCGUCUAUCACUAACUGACCCGACCCAAUCUGCAUCAGUAUAAACUUCUAUGUUGCUGUAAUCUUCAUUUUUGGAAAAUAGGAUUCUUUUUCCUGGAUUUGUCUUCAGGUACCUCAGGAUCCGCAUUACUGCUUUAAUGUGUUGUUCUCCGGGAUUAUGCAUAAACUGACUUACAACACUCAAUGCAUAAGCAAGAUCUGGCCUUGUGUGCGACAAGUACAUCAAUCUUCCAAUCAGUCUUUGAUAUCUUCCUUUGUCUACUGGAACUUGGUCUGAGGUAAUACAAAACUUCAGUCCUUCUUCUAUUGGGGUGUCAAUAGGCUAACAAGCUGUCAUUCCCGUUUCGUGCAAUAGAUUUAAGGCAUAUUUCCUUUGAGACAGAAAGAUUCCUCCCUUAGAUCAAGAAACCUCAAUUCCAUGAAAGUAUUUUAAGGCUCAUAAAUCCUUCAUCUCAAACUCUCUUGACAAGUACUUCUGAAGAGCCUAUCUUUCUUCCUCGUCAUUGCCUGUAACUACCAUAUCAUCCACAUAGACAAUAAGGACAGUGAUUUUACCUUGUCGUUUUUUAAUGAACAAAGUAUGAUCUGAACUGCUUUGGUUAUACCCAAAAAGAACCAUAGCCUUUGUGAAUUUCCCGAACCAUGCUCUUGGGGAUUGCUUCAACCCGUGUAAUGAUUUCUUCAAUUUGCAUCCUUUCUGAUUGAGUCGUUCUAGUCCACUGCAUCCUAGUGGCAGAUCCAUAUAAAUUUCUUCAGAUAGGUUUCCAUAGAGGAAAGCAUUCUUUACAUCAAACUGUUGCACUGGCCAAUCCAAGUUGACUGCUAAUGAUAAUAAGAUAUGAAUAGUAUUAAUUUUUGCUACCGGUGCAAACGUAUCGGAAUAAUCUAUUCCGUAGGUUUGAGUGUAACCCUUAGCUACGAGUCUUGCUUUGUAUCGUUCAAUAGAGCCAUAUGCUUUGUACUUUAUAGUAUAGAUCCAUCGGCAACCCACUGGUUUCUUUCUUGGUGGAGAUCAACUAGUUCCCAUGUUGGAUUUUUCUGAAGAGAUCUCAUUUCAUCAUUCAUAGAUGCUUUCCACUUUGGGUCUUUUAAGGCUUCUUGCACACUGUUAGGAAUAGAUACAGUAGAUAAUUGAUUCACAAAUGACUGAUUUGAUUCUGACAAGCGAUGGUUAGACACAAAAUGACUCAUAGGGUAUUUGACUCUGCUAGAGAAGUCAAGCUCAUAUGUGGUUUUAGGGAUACCUCUAUUUUGACGCUGGGGAAGAAUUCUUCUGAUUGGACUUGUGGUAGGAACAUCCUCUGCAGACGAUUAGUUAGGUAUUUCUUCAUGUGACUCAUUCUCGAUUGCAGUUGUGUCUGAGUUAUUGUGCUCCCCAAAUGUGUCUUCACUUAUCUCAGCCUGAGAAUCAUCACCAUUAUCUUUUCCAGUAUCUUGAAGGUUUACUAUCUCAAUGGAAAAUUGACCUUCUUCAAGUGGAAGAUGUGUAAGAGUAUGAAUUUCCUCUUCAUUAUACUCCCCCUGAAAUUCAGGCUCUGACAAGUAGUACAUGAUAUCUUCAUGAAAGACGACAUCUAUGGUGAUGUAUAUUUUUCUUGAUGGUGGAUGAUAGCAUCGGUAUCCCUUUUGAUAUAAGGCAUACCCUACAAACACACAACGUAGUGCUCGAGGAGAUAAUUUGUCUUGUUGUGACAAAUGAACAAAGGCAACACAGCCAAACACAUGUGGGGGUAAAUUCGGCAAUAAGAUAGUGGCAUGUGGGCUUGGAAAGGAGUCUGGAAUCCAAGAGAGCUUGAAGGUGUUCGAUUGAUCAAGUAUGUUGCGGAUGCCAGUGCUUCUCCCCAAUAAGAUAGUGGCAUGUGGGCUUGGAUUAGUGAUGCUCGAACAACUUCUAGUAAAUGUCUGUUUUUUCGUUCAGCAACGCCAUUUUGUUGGGGUGUCCCCACACAAGUGGUUUGAUGGACAGGUCCUUGUGAUUUCAGAAACUGUUGAAUUGUUGUGCUCAUAUACUCGUCUCCAUUAUCAGUAUGUAGAACUCGAAUUUGUGUCUGAAAUUGAGUCGUCACCAUCUUAUGAAAUCUUUGAAAUAAAGAGUUUACUUCGUCUUUUAAUUUCAUCAUAAAAAUCCAUGUCAUUCUGCUACAAUCAUCAAUAAAUGUAACAAACCAACGAGCACCUCCAAUUGUAGAAACUUUAGAUGGCCCCCAUACAUCAGAAUGUACUACCAUGAAAGGAACUGGAUUUUUAUUUAAGGAAAAUGAAAAAGUAGUUCGAUGGUUUUUUGAAAGUUCACAAACAUCACAUUUAAAGUUACAAAUAUCAAAUUUCAGAAACAAACUAGGAAAUAAUUUUUUUAAGUAACCAAAUGACAUAUGCCCUAAACGUUUAUGCCAUAACCAAAUUUCUGAUUUCCCUUUUUUUAUGGAACUAUCUGCGACUAGUACGGGGAUUAGCUUUCCAGUGUUUGUUGAUGACAUCUCCAAGUAGUACAAGUUGCCUCGUCUAAUACCAUAACCAAUCGUUUGCUUCAUUUGAAUGUCCUUAAACACACAAUGAUCAGGCCAAAAACUUACAACACAUGAUAAGUAAGUUGUUAAUUGAGACACAGAUAAAAGAUUAUAAUCUAAAGAUGGAACAAUUAACACAGAGUCUAAAUUUAAUUCAUCUGUGAGUCGUAAAGAUCCUUCCCCAAUAACUAAGGUUGUGGUUCCAUUUGCAGUGGAAAUAUGUUUUUGUGAAGAUGGUUUCAAUUGAGAAACUUGUUGAGAAUCAAAAGUCAUAUGAUCAGUUGCCCCAGAAUCAAUUAUCCAUGUACUAUUAAUAACAGGUGUAAGAGUUUUAAGGGCCUUACCUGGACUGACAGAGGUUGCGAUUUGCACUGAAGAUUCUUUUCUAAGAUCUGUAGUGGAUGUGGAUUCAGCUACUGCAGUUUUUUAUCCCUGCUUGGUGUUCUUCUUUCGAGUAUCCCACCAGUCAGGAUAUCCAAUGAUUUCAAAAUAUUGUUCUUUCGUAUGACCCUUCUUUCUACAAUGAGUUCAAUGGAGUGAUGACUUGUCAACAAGCUUCCUUUAAGGCUGCUGUCGUGCUAUCAUAGCAGACGUUUCUGAGUCGACCUUCUUAUUUAGUUUGCUUUGCCGUACAUCUUCUCUUCAGAUAAGAGAAUAACAUUCUUCUAAGUCUGGGAUAAUAUCUUUUCGUAGAAUUUCUCCACGAACUUGGUCAAAUUCUUCAUCUAGCCCAGCAAGAAAAAUGUGCACUCUCAAUCUUUCAACAGACCUUCUGUAUAUUACAACAUCUUCUGGAUCCUUCAUGACCACUUUAUCUCGGUGAUCAAGUUCUCGAAAUAUUUCAAUCAAUUCUCCGUAGAAUUUAGAGAGUGGUUGUCCAUUUUGCUUGAUUGAGAAUGCCUUCUGAUUUAGAGUGAAAACUUGUAAUUCAUCGCUUCCAUCAUAGAAGGCUUUUGAUAAUGCAUCCCAAAUUUCGUAGGCUGUAGGAAUUCGUAAAUAUCGCUUCAUGAUCUCCGGAGACAUGGAUAUGAGUAACCAUCUUUUCACUUUUUGGUUCUCACUAUACCAUUUCUCAUAUUCCUUUGAAGAUUCCUCAGAUGGCUUUGUGUAGCUACAAAUAUAUGAGAGUUUUUCUCUUUCUGCAAGAUGCAUCUCCAUUAUUUGAGACCAAACAUCGUAGUUUGUCUCAAUGAGGAUAAUUCCAGCAUUAAAUACUCCAUCAGAUUGAACAGAUUGAAUGACAACAGGAGCAGAUUCAGUUGGAGUUUUCUCCAUUUUUUUGUUUUUUUCUUUUCUUUUUUUUUUUGUUUUUUGUUUUUUAUUUUUUUAUUUUUUUAUUUUUUUUUUUUUGCGUCUAGAUUGAAAGAAGAAAAAAAAUAACCUUUUUAGAUCAAAAAACGACAAGUUGUUUGGCCUCUGCUUGACGAAACGAUAUGUCGGCUCUGAUGGAAUAGAAACGACAUGUCGUUUUAGGACUGCUGCACUCUGGAGAUAAAAAACGACAUGUCGGUUGAAGUCUUCUUCAACCUCUGGAGCGCGUGAGAGCGCGUAAAGAUGACAGAGGCGCGUGGUUGAUUGGCCGUGGUUUCGGGUGGCGCGUGGAAGCGCGUGGGUAUGUGUUUAAAUGCGAAAUUUUUACAGUUUACUUACUGGAAACUGAGAAAUUUGAUGGUAUUCUUGGUUUUUGAGGAACACACUCUUGGAAAAUUGAUAGGAUUGUUGAUAAAUUUGUAAACUCAAGUUUUUUACGUAUGGGUGGCUUGUUUUUUGAUCGGCAUGGAUUUCGGAAAUGGUAGGAAUGGUUGUAAGGAAGAAAAUUGUGGGAAAAUGGUUGUGGGAAGAAUUUGGUUUCCUCUGUUUUUGUUACAAAUAGAGCAGUGAAACUGGAAGAAACUUGAGCGUAUUCAUGGCUCUGAUACCAUGAAGAAACUUGUUUUCAUUUCUUAAAAUAAAACAUUAUACACUGAGAGUUAUUUAUAGAUGCAGAAACUACAUUUUUUCAAAGUUUACAUAUGUGAAUACGGAAGGAAAUGUGUCAAUCCAUUCGGCGCGGAUCUUGUCUUUGACAAGUGCAGAUUAUCCCUUUGACAAGUACGGAUUAUGUCUUUGAAAACUUCAUUCAAUGACGUUUUAUUUGAUUCUCAACAUAAUGAAAUGUUGAUAUCGGCAAAUCUAGGAUGUAAACUAAGGUUCACAUAAAAAAAAAAAAACUAAUAAUAAUAAUAAUAUUAUUAUUUUAAUCCAUGAAUAGAAAAAGGUUGUAUGCUCAUCAACCCAUUGCAAACUUUUGGCUUAAGAUUAAUAUGAGUAAUACAACACAGCUAUAUCAUAUCCCUAAACUUGAAAAUUAUUUAAAAAGGACCAUGUCUUGAUGAGGAUGAUAAAAUUAGCAAGGUUUCUAUUUUAUAAGUGUCUUCAACAACAGCUCAAAAACUUGCCUCCUCGGUUGUUGGUCGCCUCAAGAAAUAUCGCAAACUGUUAGCAAGAACCUGCAAAUUUGAUCAAGCAAAGUCUAAUCAGUACAUCAACGAUCGUGCAAGUCUUCAGGCGCACCGUGUGAUCAUUAGCACGUUAAUGUUCUUACCGCCCACUUCAAAGUUUAAAUUCAAAUCUUUUAUAUAAGAACAGUUUUGCAACUAGAAUACCGAUUUUGAGUAGAAAUGGUAAGUCUCUUUAUUCUUCAGAGCAAACAAUCUAUAAAGCAAUUUCCGAUGUCCUAUAUGUAGGCCUGUUUUUUUUACCUGUUGGAGAGGCUUGAUAAUGGCUUCACCCUUGUAGCUGACAUGAAACUUUGCCUUAGCCAACAACCCCUGGGUGCGAAAACAAAAAUUAGAACAAAAUAUAUUAAUAAGGGAAGGCCACUCUUUUGUCAAUAUAUAUAUAUUAAUAAGGGAAGUGGGACGUUAUCCUUCCCAUAAUAACUCAUAUACAUAGUUUUUAACAUUCAUGACAACAUGAUAUUAAUUUCAAUGGCAGGCAAAUUGAAUAUAAUGUCUUUAAAGAAAAUGAGGAUAAAAGGGAAGUAAUAUUUGGCCUAAGAGAACUCUAAAAACAACUUAGUUUCCUAUUCAAAUGAUCCACUAGUGAGAAGAGCCAAAAAUAUCAAUAAUCUGAAAAAUCAAAAUAAGACCAGAAAGCAAAAACCUGUUGUUUUGGAGGAUCAACGCCAAAGGCAACACCCAUUGCCAACUGGGAACUUCAUUCCUGAUUCCAUCACCAACACAAAUGGAAUAAACUUUUCAAUAAGAGAAUACCUACAGGUGCUCCACCAAGUGAUAUCUCAAGAGAGACAAAAAAAUGAUUACCGGGUGAUACUGAAGUAGAUUGUUUAUAACUGUCAAACGAAUUGCCUCAAGCACCUCAGGAUCAUCAACUUUCCUACCAGUAUCACUGCACACAAGCAUCAUGACCAAAUUAAUCAAAACCACAGUGGGAAUCUAUUGCAAGAACUUCUCCAAAAAACAGCGAUGGCUCUUUGGAUCAUUGAUUUUAGGUUCUAGUAUGUCUAAAAUUUUAACGAUUUCAACAUUAGUUAUAAACAUCUAUUUGCAACAGACUGAUCACACUUGUAUAUGGAGCAUCAAAAGUAGGUAUUUACUAUGCUCAUCAAAUAUAGACCAGAAGACGUUGACAACAAUUAAAGGAUAUUAGUGAAUGAAACUGCAAGCAGAGAAUAUAAAUCAGCUCAGUAAUGCAAGGGCAUGAAAAGCAAAAUGCAUAUGCAUCACAAAAUUACAGAGAUAUAUAAUUUCGCAGUCAUAUGAUGAUAUUGCAGCGGUGAAGCCGUGCGUGAGGUUAAGGCAAGUGAUGGAAUGACUUGCGUUACAAAAGAGGUAUGUGAAGUUGCACUAUAAAAAUAAAAUAAAUUUGUAUUUUCAAGUAGUGAGGUUAACGUGGCUUGUUUUUGCUCAAAACCUUAAGGAGCUAUAUAUAAAGUUUUGUAAUGAUGUGGAAGAAAUAAUUAGUGUUGAUAAAUUGAGUGAUAUUUCAGAUAUAAUCGGGUCAGAGCAUAACUUUUUCUCACAACUCGAAUAUCUAUUCAUAAGGUGGGGACCAAAUUUAAAGAGCGUUUACCCGAAUCCCCUGCCCUUUCCAAAGCUGAAGAAAAUUGAAGUACGUGGAUGCCCACAGCUGAAGAAGCUCCCACUCAAUUCCAGCAGCGCGAAGGAACGUCGAGUUGUCAUCGAGGGAGAGAAAAAAUGGUAGGAAGAGCUACAAUGGGAGGAUCAAGCCACCCAAAAUGCUUUCUCUUCCGGUGCCGUAAUUAAUGAGGGUCCUUUUCAUUAAUAUGUUUGAAUAUGUAUUUCUUUUUUUUUUUAAUUUUCAUUAGAUUUAAUUGCAUCUUGUUCUUGUUGUCUGGUGUGUCAAUCGUUCCCUAUUUUCAGUUAAUAAAAUUUCAGCAGUGGAUUCUUGGUUUAUUAAUGUUUAUAUAACUGAAUUGUUCAGCAGAUGUACUCUGCAUAUGUACUCUGCACAACUAACACAGAAAUAAACACAGAAAUAAAUAUAUGUAAGUGGGUACAGGACUGACUCUGCUUCUGGCUGCGAAUUGCAAAUAAAAGAAGCCGAUAUAUUAAACCCAACUGACAUUAUUAUUGCAAAUAAGAGAAGUUAAUACAUUGUCUACCCACUCUGCAGACUGUCAACAAAUGUUCAACCACCACAAAUGAAAAAAUGGAACUUGAUUUUUGUCUAACCAAAUACAAGCCAAACAGGAUUUUGCGCAGAUAUUCUACCAGCAAAUUCUAAAUCCUCUUUGACAUAAUCCAUCUUAGAAUAAUUGCUCCUUACUUCAUCUCUGAAACCAAACUCUUAGCUCUUGCUUUUCUAAUAGGUUGCAGGCCGUUUUAGUAGACACCCCAUGAAAGGAUCGGCUAGAGUGUAAACAAGCAUUGCCCCUUCCUUGGUUGCUUGCUUUACUAUCUCCAUCAACUGCUCAACAUCAUUAAAUUAACAAAAUUGUUGCAAUUACAAUAUGUCAGUGCUCACAUUUUAGCUGAUUAAAUUAAAUGAGGUUUCAACAUUAAGCAAAACAAUCCAGAUUAUAAUAAUAAAGCAUUUCCUCUAGUACACCAACAACAAUUAUUGUUUUCUGUGAUCAAAUCACAUACAGAAAAUAACUAAAUUGACAAGAGUUGAACUGAAGAGUCAGCUUUCCAAUUUUCUACUUCUACAAUUUUAUUCGGAAUAAAGAAAAACAGCCUAAUAUAGAAGGGAAAGAAAUAAAAAGUUCAGCAUGGUCAAAUGGGUCAAUUUUCAUCCUCCCUUUACUGCUCCACUUUGCUCAAUCAAGUGGAUUUACAUUCAAUUCUUGAGGAUUUGAAUUAAAAAAACAAAAAAAAAAAAGCAACAGUUUAUAUUCAUCUAUAAGCGGGCUAUGUAAAGAUCAAGGUCUGUGUCUGUAAAACUUAAGUCUUCCGGCUUCAAAGGAGAAUGAGGCAAAAGCUGAACAUUUGUGGAGUGAUAUAAAAAAUUUGUGGUUCUGGAUCCAUUUCACAUUAGGCAUUGUAAUGUUUAUGGAUGGUAUACAGGAUGUCACGAAUAGUUAAACGAAGAAGGUAUUUGAUUGAAAUGCGCAGAUGUUCGAUGAAAUGUAUCUGCGUUUCAGCCUCAGCGGAAAUUGUUGUGAGUGUGUGAUGGGUAUUUCAAAAUAUUGAAUCCAAGACAAUUGAAUUUGAAUUAAAUUGAAGGAGUUUAAAUUUAAUUAACUAAAGUUAAUUGACUCAUUUUUAAUAAUGUUAAAAUUUGGUUAGAGGAAGUUAUGGUAGUUAAGAAAAUAAAAUUAAAAGAAGUUGAAGUGGAUUAAAGAGAGAUAAAUUAAAUGGAGGCUAUUCAAAGAUGUAUUUGGAACAGACACCGUUAAUUUAUAAAUAGUAGCCUACAUAUUAUUAUUCGAUAUUGAUUUUUUCUCUACCACUUCUUCAACUCUACUUCUUCCAUAUUCCAAAUACUAACACAUAAAUCAUCAUAUUUUAUAUUUAAUUAUUUGUUAUUCCAAAUUGUUGUAUUGAGUGUGCACUAAUACAAAAAUUACAGUUGUAUCCUAGGAACUAUCUAUCAACAAUCUAUUUGUACCAAAAUAUUAUUUUGAGAGGCAAAAACAGUCUCAAAAACAGCGUAUACCACAUCUUAACUCUUACUUAUUUUAUUCAUAACCAUAUCAUAUUUUUUUGCAAUAUCUUAUUUAUUAUCUUAAAUUUUUACAACUAUCUUAAGAUUAGUUCUUAUGGAUGUUGUAACUAAUGCUGCAAUGAUGGCUGUCGCUAAAGCUCUACUUGACACACAAAAACUGAACGUUUGAUAGGAAUUUUCUAAGGCAAUGGCAUGAUCAUAUCUAUGGCACAUUGGAUGUAAUGAAUUAUGCUUAAUUUCUAUAGAGCCUCCACCAGAUUCUGAAUCUAAAAAUUAUGAGGUAUCAUAUCAAAAUUAGACUAAAGCAAAUAAGAUAUGCUGAAGUACCAUUCUGAACACUGUUUCAAAUGAGUUAUAUGAUGUUUGUUCACAACACAAGUUUGUGUAUGAAAUUUGGACUUAAUUGCAUAAAAAUAUAUCAUAGAAGAUGCUGGAGCCCAAAAAUAUUUAAUUGCUAAUUUUUUAGAUUUUAAGAUGAUAGAAGAUAAGGAAGUGACUUCUCAAAUUCAUGGAUUCCACAUGCUUAUUAAUGAUUCGAAAAAUGAAAAUAUAAAUCUUCCUGAGUUUUUUGUGGUUGGUUACCACAUUGAAAAAUUGGCUGACUCAUGGAAGGAUUAUUAGAAAAUAACAAAGAAAAUAAUAAGCACAAAAUGAAAGCAUAAGAAUUUGGAGGAUGCUAUUGUUCAAAUCCGAAUUGAAGAAAAACAUAGACAAAUGGAUCAAUUGGAGAAAGCCAAGGAAAUUACUUUUAAGGCUAAUUUGAUUGAGAAUGAGGCUCAUCCAAGCAAGAAUCAAAACCCUAACAACAACAAGCUUUUCAAAAAUAAAAAGAUCACAUUAAAAAAAAAAAAAGGCAAUUGUUAUGUUUGUGGCAAACCUGGAUAUUUUGCUAUCAAAUGCAAGUAUAGAAAAAGAGAUCACAAGCCUCUUAAGGCCAAUUUGGUCAAUAAAGAAGAAAUUAUUGCUGUUGUGGUGGUCACUCAAGCGAACUGCUACCGAGGGAAAAAAAAUGGCGACAAAUUCUACUGCUACCAAACACAUUAGUAGUGAUAGAAAUUCUUUCUUUAAGUAUGUUCAAGAGAGCGAUUUGGAAGAAAAAGUGCAUUUUGGUGACUUCCACUCGAUUCCAAUCAUAGGAAAAGGUAAAAUUCUUCUCAAAUUGACUUCCGGAAAAAUCUUCUCAAUGAAAAAUGUACUUAAUAUUCCUAAUAUUAGAUAUAAUUUAAUUUCCUAUUUCUACUUGGGAAGGGUUGGUGUAAAAGUCUCCUUUGAAUGAGAUAAAAUUGUAAUGACUAAAAAUGGGCUCUUUGUUGGGAAAGGAUAUGUCUAUGGAAAUUUGUUCAAGAUUAAUGUACUUGACACAAUUAUUAAUAAUCGAGUCUCUACUUCUCCUUAUAUUUUCUUACUCUGUUGAUUUACGGCAUGCUAGAUUAGGCCAUGUGAAUUUUUCUUGAAGAAAAUGAAAGGUAUUGGCUUACUGUCUGGUUAAUGUAUCAAAGAUUGAAAAAUGUUGUGUACGUGUGGAGCCUAAGUCUGUAAAAAGGACAUGUAAACAAAUUCUUAUGAGAGAAACUAAAAUAUUCAGUUUAAUUUACAGUCACCUUGGAGAUUUAAAACAACCAUGACUAUAGGAGGUAAAAGAUUUUAUGUAACCUUGAUUAAUGAUUUUUCAAUAUAUACUAAGUUGUAUUUACUAAGAAAUAAAGAUGAGGCGGGUGAAAAUUUCUCAAUUUAUGAAAAUGAAGUUGAAAAUCAACUUGGGAAAAGAAUUAAAAAAAUUAAGAACUGAUAGAGAAGGGGAGUAUGCGUCUAAUAUGUUUUUGCCCUUUGUGAGGAUCAUGGCAUUAUUCAUGAAAUGACACCUCCUUAUUCACCUGAAUCGGAUGGGGUUGCUAAGAGGAAAAAUAGAACCCCAAAAGAAAUGAUAAAUGCGAUGCUUGUAAGUUCUAGGGUCCCUUUGAAAUUAUGGGGGGAAGCUAUCCUUGAUUUACAUCAGAUGGAUAUGAAGAUAACGUUUCUCAAUGGUGACAUUGAUGAGACUAUCUAUAUGGUGCAGCCUGAAAACUUUGUAUCAGGAGACCCAAAUAAUAUGGUUUGCAAACUUAAUCAAUCUAUCUUUGGACUCAAGCAAGCAUCUCGACAAUGGUAUUUCAAGUUUCAUCAAGUGAUCAUCUCAUUCAAUUUUGAGAUGAAUUUGGUCGAUGAUUGCAUAUACUAUAGGUUCUGUUGGGGCAAGUAUAUUUUUUCGGUUUCGUAUGUCGAUGAAAUAUAAAUCCAUCUUGUUAGCAAUGAUAUAUGCUUAUUACACAAUACCAAGAAAUUUCUAGCUAAUAAGAUGAAACAGCUAUAUCAAAAAAUAUUCUCAAGAGAUAUGGCUUACAAGAUUGCAAGAAAUUUAGUUUUUAUGGAAGAUUGUGAAUUUAGAUGCUUUUAUGAUAUAGACAUUUUUCAGUUAUUUCAGUUUAUGGAUAUUUAAAGUUAUUUUCUACAAAAUUAAAUGUUUUGAUUAUUCACACUCUGAUUUUAAUAUGGUUUGAUCUUACUAACGUUUAAAGUGAACCAGUUAGAAAUAGGCAUAUUAAGAUCACAAUGUAUGAAAUUUCCAUGCUAUACAUCCAUAUCAUGAUCCAUGUCAUUGGCAUAGUGACCAUUGAUGAGUCGAGUUAUGAAAGUUGUUAUAAAGGCCGCUUUGAUCUUAUGUUGAUAUGAUUAAUGAACCGGAUUAGUUAUGGAUGCAUUUAAGUAAUGAUAGUAAAGUUCAACUUAUACAAUUAUUUUUGCAAAGAAUAAUUAUAAGGUUACACAAUUAACCCAAGUAGCAUAUUGUUGGAUCUUGAAUCCAGUAUUAUUGGAUCCUUAAUCUAACAUUGGGCUCAUAUGUGAAUAAGUAUGAGUUGCAGAUUGUCAUAUAUGAUUAAAUCCAAUGAAAAGUAAUCUAAAAUUUUUUUCAGUGAUUUGAACUUUGAUGUAUCAAAUUGGGUGUGAGCCUUUAAUAAGAACAAUUUCUAUUUGUAAGAUGGGUUAAAAUAGAAAUACCUAAAUAUAACAAAAAAGUGUCUAUAUAAGUAGUUACAGUCCCAAGGCACUACUAGAAAAAUGGUCUUUACUGAUACUUGUGUUCUGACACUUUGUUUAAAAGUAUCAGUAUAUACAUAUAUUUGGAUCAUUUUUCACGUUUAACAGAUAUGUAUCAUUAAUUACUAAUACUGAAGUAUCAAUAGUUUUAGUAAUAACGAUCAAUGACGCUUAGGUAUCAGCAAUUAAAAAUUAUCAUUUUAAUUUUGUUUUAGUCCAAAUUCGAACCCAAGACCUCUUAAACCUAGAGCUUUUACAUUGAAUCAAAAGACCACUAGGCUACAAAUUAUUUUUAAUUUUUUUAGAGUUGUGCUUUUUAAGUGGAUAAAAACAAAACAAAUGGACAAGUCUUAUCUUAUCCAAAAUACAACUUUUCAACUCCCUUUACCAAAGUAUUCGUUCCCUUCUAAGCUCCCCAGAUCUGAAAAAUCCCUAACAUCCAAAUUGUCAAAAAGUGCUCAGCCAUGAUCCUAUCAAACUAGUGGCACAGAUUCACCAUUUGCCUUCAAAAUCCUAACUUAUUGUUUCUUUUCUUAUUUUAUGAUUUCGGGUCUCUCUUGUUGUCAUUAGAUCUUGAGUUUUUUUUUGUUUUAAUUGUUUUUUUAGGUUUAAAUAAGUGAUUUGGAGAAGAGCUUCUAUGUUUCUUUGGCUACUUGGAAGAAACUAGAAGGUAUUAUUUCUUUGGCUACUUGGAAGAAACAAGAAGGUAAAGAUUUAGCUUUUAUUGUGUUUUUUUCUCUACUACUUUCUUUUCUUUUAUUGGCACCAAAUAGCCUUCAUUAUAUCUACUUUGGAAAAUAUUGUGUUUAGGGUGAUCGUCACUGUAAGGUUAACUUUAUUUCGCUGAUGAACGACAAUAAACAUUUUUUACAGUAAAACCCUAAAAUUUUCUAAUUUGGGAAUUCUUAAGAGCAGCAUGAUUAUGCUAAAAUUGAUGGUUUAUAUUGGUUCAUAGUAGUUCUAUGUUGAUAUAACUUAUUGCUUAUUAACUAUUUGUUCAUGUGUUAUUAGCUUUUUUUUUCAAAAGCAAUCUUUUCAUUUUUUUUGGCUGUUAUUUUUUAGUUUUGUUCAUAUCGAAUAGAUUUCAAUUUUUAUUUGCUAUAAAUAGUCUCAUUGGAUGAUUACUUAUUACAAACUAUCAAAUAGAUGCUUUUACAAAGGAAAAGUUUGAAGUAUGUGGCUUAGGUUGAGAAAUGAGGUGUCUUUAUCAUUUCUUUAAUGGAUUUGUUUACAGGGCAAAACAGAAUUUUGUUUCUUCAAUUCAUUACUAAGGCAAUAUUAGAUUUGUCUUAUUUAUAUUUAUGUUCAUAAUAAGGCAAUAUCUACUUUAAUUGUUUAAUUUUUCUUAUUUAUAUUUAUAUGACUGAUGGCCAAAAUCAUAAGACUUGUUUAUAAGUAAUGAUUUUGGAAUGAACUCUCAAAUUAUUGAAAUAUUUUGUCCAAAGUUUACCAUAUGUUUGAAAUAAUUAAAGUUAAAUGUGUAUGUUUCAGUUCUGGAAAUUUGGAAUGAAUUGGGUCUAUAACUAAUUUUUAAUCGAUUUUUCAAAAUGGUUGGUUGUUGUCCAAUCUUUCAUAAAUUACUCAUGUAUCAUGUUUGGUGGUGCAAAACGAUAGUCUAAACAUGUCUGAAUGAGCUGAAAUUCGGAGAAACUAAAGUUCUAUAUGAAUACUUCAAAUUUGAAAAAUUUUAUGUUGAUUGAACUUGCAAGUUAUUUUUAAUGAUUUUUUAAACUCUGCUGCUCUGCAGCAAGUUCUUUUGACAUAACUAUUUAUUAACUUUUGUUCUUACAAAACACGAGCAUAAUAAUAUCAGAAUAACCUCAAAUUUUAAUAUGUUGUUCAUUCAUAUGUGUUGUUAAAAACUGGAAAAUAUCAUUCCAAUGUAUUAAGUAUCUUAAAUUUUAUAAGAUUCAUGGCCAAAAUCAUAAGACUUGUUUAUAAGCAAUGAUUUUGGAAUGAACUCUCAAAUUAUUGAAAUAUUUUGUCCAAACUUUACCAUAUGUUUGAUAUAAUUAAAGUUAAAUGUGUAUGUUUCAGUUUUGGAAAUUUUGGAAUGAAUUGGGUCUAUAACUGAUUUUUAAUCGAUUUUUCAAAAUGGUUGGUUGUUGUCCAAUCUUUCAUAAAUUACUCAUGUAUCAUGUUUGGUGGUGCAAAACAAUAGUCUAAACAUGUUUGAAUGAGCUGAAAUUCGGCGAAACUAAAGUUCUAUAUGCUUACUUCAAAUCUGAAAAAUUUUAUAUUGAUUGAACUUGCAGGUUAUUUUUAAUGAUUUUUUAAACUUUGCUGCUCUGUAGCAAGUUCUUUUGACAUAACUAUUUAUUAACAUUUGAUCUUACAAAACACCAGCAUAAUAAUAUCAGAAUAACCUUAAAUUUUAAUAUGUUGUUCAUUCAUAUGUGUUGUUAAAAAUUGGAAAAUAUCAAUCCAAUGUAUUAAGUAUCUUAAAUUUUAUAAAUAUGUAUUUAAGUACCAAUUACUACUGUAGUUUUUCAUUGACAAUUUUGAAUUACACACAAAUCUACUUAAUUAUUUUUAGGAAUCUGGUUUUAUUAUUUAAUUGUCCCACAUACCUCUUGUUGUGCAAAUUUUAAUGAACUCGCAAGUGCACGAAUCUAUUGUAGUAUAGAUCAAUGGUGACGAGUGUCGAUCCCAUGAGGAGGUGGAUUUUAAUUAUAUGUAGAAUUAAUUUUGUAAAUGGGUGGUUGGAAUUGUGGUGGAAGUGAUUUAAAUUAUCCUAAAAUUGGAAUUGAAAUGGCGAUAAUCAAUUCUAAAAUUGGAAUUGCAAUGGCGAGAAUAAAUUGAAGCGAAAUCUAUUGAAAUGACGUACUUGGGUAUCUGGAUCCGUAUCAACAUGCACCAUGGGCUAAAUAUUCCUUAUUAAUACCAAUUAAAUCAUGAGGGGGGGAAUCCACACCUCAUGAACCACACUUUAAUCAAUAUGGUGCUAAGGGCUUAUCGUGCCAAAUAAUAAUAACCUUGUACUAGGGGGCCGGUGAAACUAAGGUGGUACUAGACAAGAUUAGUAUUAUUUGUCGACGAGAAGUUAAAACAUCCACAAAAAUUAGAGGGGAAGAGAAAAUAAAUUUACCAAAUAAAGCCCAUGACACAUGUUGAGACUUCACCUUCAACCCAAGCUUGAAAGAAAAUUAGCUACUCAUAAUUGAACUAGGGGCAAAAUGGAAAUUUAUUAAAAUACGAAGAAAAUACAAGAUGGAGAAGGAAUUACAAAAAAUGGAUUCAGAGAUAUCAAAUUAGGGGGGGGAGGCCCCCUUUUUAUAGAUACAUGGAGUAAAUCAUUGUCAUCGGAUUAAAAACAGUUUGGACGCUCAGGAUUGCGCCACAUCAUCAGUCAACAGUACGCGGUUUGACCACGUGGAUGAACAGUAACACGGUUUGACCCGAGUUGAACAGUAACGCAGUUUGGUUGAAAAUAAUCCUGUGUGAUGCGUGUACCGUACGCGAGAUUUUUCGUCCACUGAUAUGCUGCCACGUCACCAUCAACAGUACAUAAGAAUUUUAGUCCAACAGGAUCAUGACACCUCAUCAGUCAAUGCCACAUCAUCGGUCAAUGCCACGUCAUCGAUCCGUCUAUGUGAACAGUGUCGUGAACAGUAACAUAUACAAUACCGUACAUGUGAAUAGUGUCAUUUUUCCUUUUAUACUCCUCCUAAGGUUUUCAACCAUCUUGAGUUCAAAAGUGAUGUCUGUUUUGCCGUCUGAUCUCUCCUUUAUUGUGAAAUGACUAUAAUGCCCCUAAAAUACAUAAAAUACUUAAUUAAAAUAAAACACAUGUAAUUAAAUCACAAGAAGGUUAAAUACAUAAAAGUAAAGGUUGUUAGUAAUACUUAAAAUGUAAAAUGACGGGUUUCUCCUUUAUAAAUAUGCAUUUUCUAACACUCAACACACCCCCCAACCAACUUAUUGCUAGUCCCUAGCAAAUAAAGUGAAAACAAAAUUCAAAUUCAAAAUAAUUUUUUUUUUAAUAGAAACACUCGUAUUCCAUCAGAUUAAUGAUAACAAUCAAAUAAAAGUAUAAGCAUGAUCUCCAGUCUAAAGCAACAUCAUACCCACAUCAACCAUCCACAUGAAUCAGCCCAGUAGACUUUGUUAUAGCUACUUUUAAUAAUGACAUGUCAAACCCCAAAAUCUCACUGGAAGUAGUGACACUCUCACAAAGAAAUUAAAACCAAUAAAAAUAGUCACUCCAAUGAAUGGUAAUUGAGAGAGAAAAUAAUAAAGAAGUGAUAUCACAUGCUCUCACCAAGAUGAAAUAAAUAUGCCCUCAGCUUAGAAAUAAUACGAUCUCAAGUUAAAUAAAAAUGCUAGUCAACCCAAUUUAUUUAUCUUUUUAUUUAUUUAUUUAUUUUUAUUAUGCACCACUACAUCUUUUUAGCCCACAUAACUAGCUUCUACUUCAUAUUAUAAUUCCCUAAAAUUAGGAAGGACUUUUAUUAGGAUGUAACGUAGGCUAGGGACAUGGUUAACAAAGAAGGGAAAUAAGGAAAACAAAGUGUAUGUUUGAGAAAAAUGCAGAGGAAUUUUUUUUUUGCUUUUACUUGGCACAACGUCACUAAAUAAAAUAAUUAUUUACAUUUUCUCAAACAUAAAUAGGUGAUGGAACUUAUAAGACAUCGGGUAAUACUCCAAAUCGGAGUGGGUUAAGAUGAUAAGUUGACAAAGAAAAUGUCUUUUUUUUUUUUUAAAGGCUCAAAAGGGUUAACUAUGGAUAUUUAAUAAAAGGGAUGGCUAGAAAGGCUCAAACGGAUCAAAGAUGGCCUUUCCAUCGUCUUUUAGGGCUCUAAAUAAUCAUCCAUAUCUACUAGUUAGAUGGGCCUCCAAAUGUAGCAACACACAUUUUUUUUUUCUUUUUUUUUUAAUUUUACAAUUUUUUUUUUAAGGGUUAACUCAAAAGAAAUCUAGAGAUCGUGUAUACAAUAAUAAACUGCUAAGCUGUAUAGAGAAUGGGCAAAAUGGUUACUCUCCAAGAAAAUGAUAGGCUCAACAACUCACUUGGCACUUAUUUAUGACAUGUUCAUUCCUUCAACCAACUCAUAUAUAUCUCCGACAUCAACAUGUAAAAUAGCAAACAUAGCGUAACAUCACUUAAGACCAAAGAUAAUACAACUACUAAAAUUUAAAAUUAAUCAUGUCAUCCAAUGUUAAAACAAAUCACACAAAUUUUUUUUUUUUUUUAAACAACAUUCUACCCCCCAACCUAUUCUAAGCAUGAAAGGAAAAUAUGCAUGCAGAAAUGUGAAUAUAAUGCAGAAAAACUAAUUAGAAAAGUUACACUUAAAAUGAUAGAAAACGAAAAUAAUUUUUUUUUUUAACUUAGAAGAUGCGUUUCUAGAGGCACUACACUCCAUAUUCAGCCAUCUUCGACUCACAAGUUGGAAAAUGUAUAUUUAUGGAGGAGAAAUUAAAAAGAAGAAAAAUAAACAUAAAAACAUAAUAAAGAAAAAGAAAAUGUUUGAAUUUUUUUUUGUUUUUUAAUUUUUUUUAAACGAUGAAGAUGCGUUUCUAGAGUCACUACACUCCAUAUUCAGCCAUCUUCAACACAAAAAGUUAGCAACAAUUAGUUUCUACAACAAAAAAUUAGUAAAAACUUAACCAAAAUUCCACAAUUGUCGACUAUUCCCUCCCCCCAACCAGAAUGAAAUAUUGUCCUCAAUGUUUGAAAGGAAAGAAGUAGAGUUUAGAAGACAUCACCUAGGUGGUGCAACACAGAAAAUAAUAUUUACAAGCGGAGAGUUAAAUCUAAUUUGUACUUCUUACUGCGGCUACGGUUACCAUAAUUAUUUGGAUGCUCCAACACAAAAGUCCAGGGGUCUGGCUCCGGUCUAUAAACUUGUAACAUAUCAAGUAGCUCAUUAGCAGUGUGAGCACAAAUAAAGAGUUUUUUCGCAUUAGAGGGAAUGAAAUAGUUUUUUAUUGCAUGGUUAAGAAAUGCGAUAAAGCCAUCAUAAAAGUUAUUGACAUUUAACAAACCGAUAGGUUUCUGAUGGAUGUGCAUAUGGGCCCAAGAUGCUAGUGUGAUAAGUGCCUCUAGUGUUGCAAGAUCUCCUGGAAGGAAAAUAAAAGCAUCAGCAUGAUUAAGCAUUUAAGUUAUUCUUUCUUGCAUACCUGAGACGACUAACUCUUCUCCAGUUGAUGAGUCAGACGAACUGCCCAAUGGUUUUAGGGCUCUUGGGAUGAUGCCUAACACUUGGCUGCCUCUGACAAAAGCUGCUUCUGAGACCAUUUUUGAUAACCCUCGAUUACCUCCUCCAUACACCAAGUGUAAUUUUCUCGCUGCUAUGCUUCGACCAAGAUCGAUGGCUGCCUCAACGAACUCUUUAUGUUUGCCAUAGGUAAAUCCAGAAAGCACACAAAUGUUCUUGAAUUGUCUAUUUGGAGUAGCUGCCAUUGUGAUACUUCUCAAAAAACAAUUUGUGAGUGCUUGACAAAAAAAAAAUCACAUUUAAGAGUCUUGGUGACAGUGGGUCACAGUUGUGUAUGAGGUAACAUGUCAGUGUCAAAUAACGCGUAAAGCACGUGGCUCGCGAGUCAAAAAGGAAACAGUAAAAAGGAAAAAGCAAACAGUAAUAAAAUUAUUAAAGACAAUAAUACACACAAUAAAACAAUAGUGAAAUAAAAUAACAGUAAAGUGAAAGGAUAUUUACAGGUAGUUGCGACAGUGGCUCACAUCUUCCUCUGGUUUUACGUCCAGAAACGGCUUGAACGCCCUCUAUGGGUCGAUGAUAGGCUUCCUAUCCAGUUUUCUUAUAAACUGGCAAACAAUGUCGUUUAUAGUCAGAUUCCCGAGACUAUAUCGUGCAUGCUCUUUCUGGAAUAAUGGCCAUAACUGGAGAAUCGCUCCUUGCACAUAUCCAUUGGGAUGCGUUUCAAGAGACAAAAGGAUAUCAUCCAAUGACUCCUUAUUCAAGCCAUCCCUAAUGAAUUGAAUCUUAUCUUCCCUGUUAUCAGACACCAUUCCUAAAGAACAUUGGUUUUUUUGCAACUCAUUCUGGCACACUUAUGACAAGCAACAGAAAUUCUUCGAGCUCGUCAUUUUCUUGCAUAAUUUCCUUUACCACAACCAGGCAUGUAUGCAAUAAAUUUUGGAGGUAACUCACCUGCCGAUCGUACUUUAGCCUCAAUUAACCAACGGAUGUCAGCAGGUAUGUUAUUCCUCAUGAGUAAUCGCAUGCGUUCGGACCGAGCUUUAUAGAUCAUAAGGAGGGCAUUCUGAGGAAGUGAAGGGAAUCGCUUGUGAAGCUUCACUAGAAUCUCGUUUAUGUCCAUACUUUCGCCUCAGAAUAUCAGUUAUUAUGAGAAACUGAAGUAACCGACUUGAUUGUCACGGAGUACCGUUAUCCGCCAUUUAACCGGGGUAACAAACUAAAGCACACAAACAGAAAAACAAAUUAAAACACAAAAAAAAAAUUAAAAUCGUCCUCUUAUUGAAUUUACCUCAAGCUCCAACUGGAUGUCGUAAACACUUCUCUCAAUAUCUCUGAGUUGGCUUUCUAGACCCUCAACAUAGGAUACUAACUCUGGUGGUUGUAGAGCCCAAAUGCGAUAUAUUUUACAAAAUUGAAUCUGCCUUUUGAGAUGAGUUUUGACAUGUUGAAGUGGUUUAAGAAUGUUCAGGAGGAACGGUCUAAGUAAGGUACUCAUGAUUAAAAAUGAUAAGAGAAAACUUAAUAGUUAAACAAACAUACUUAUGCAAAAAUAAUUUCAAAUUAGCAAAAGAAUAAUAAAAAGAAAGAAAGAAAAAUCAAAUCAAUGAAAAGGAAAAAAAAAUCAAUUCAAAUCUGGUGGGUAACUCAAAUUUAUUUCGGUGUUUUCUCCAUGUGGUUGGUACUCUAGAUAUGGCUUUAAUCUUUGACCAUUAACUUUAAACGUGACACCGUUCUUUGGGUCCUUAAUUUCAAUUGCCCCAUGUGGAAAAAUAGUAUGUACAAUAAAUGGGCCAGACCAACGAGAGCGUAACUUACCUGGGAAUAGGUGCAAGCGAGAAUUGAAUAAAAGCACUUUCUGACCUGGAGUGAAAGAUUUUCUCAUAAUUUGCUUGUCAUGGAAGACUUUCAUUCGUUGCUUGUAAAUCUUGGCAUUUUCGUAUGCGUCAUUGCGAAUUUCUUUAAGUUCUGCCAGUUGUAAUCUUCUUUCUGAGCUGGCUUGCUGCAUGUCAAAGUUGAAUUUCUUGAUGGCCCAAUAUGCACGAUGCUCGAGUUCCACAGGUAGGUGGCAAGCUUUUCCAUACACUAACCUGUAGGGUGACAUCCCAAUCGGGGUCUUGAAAGCCGUUCUAUAUGCCCAUAAUGCAUCAUCAAGUCUUAAUGACCAAUCUUUUCUGUCUGGCCUCACCGUCUUUUCUAAUAUGUGCUUUAUUUCUCGAUUGGAGAUCUCAACUUGGCCACUGAUUUGCGGAUGAUAUGGGGUCGCCACUUUAUGAGUGAUUGAAUACUUUGUCAAAAGAGCUUUGAAUGCUUUGUUACAAAAGUGGGCACCACUAUCACUGAUUAUUGCUCGAGGGAAUCCAAAGCGUGAGAUAAUAUUACUUUUCAAAAAUCCUAUCACCACCUUGUGAUCAUUGGUUCUGCAUGGAAUUGCUUCUACCCAUUUCGAUACAUAGUCAACAGCAACGAAUAUGUAUUGAUGGCCAAAAGAAAGGGGAAAGGGUCCCAUGAAGUCGAUACCCCAUACAUAAAAAAUCUCAACCACUAAAAUUGGAUUUAGUGGCAUCAUGUUCCUUCGUAUAAUGCUCCCCAUUCGUUGACACAUAUCACAUGAAGAACAAAAAGUGUAAGCAUCUCGAAAUAUAGUUGGCCAAUAAAAACCACAUUGUAAAACUUUAGUUUCUGUUUUCUUAGCACUGAAAUGGCCUCCACAAGCUUGUUCAUGGCAGAAUGAAAGAAUAUUCUGAAUUUCAUUUUCUGGGACACAUCGUCUAACAAUUUGAUCAGCACAAUACUUGAACAAAUACGGGUCAUCCCAAAAGAAAUUCUUUAUCUCUACAAAAAAUUUAGCCUUAUCUUGCUUGGUCCAAUGCUCUGGAAGUUUACCUGUAACAAGAUAAUUAACUAUAUCAGCAUACCAAGGUAAUACUUCCACACUCAUUAAUUGUUCAUCUGGAAAUGACUCAUUUAAUAUUAAUGGCUCUGUAAUUGUGUCAAAAUGGUGACGAGAGAGAUGGUCCGCCACGACAUUUUCUGUCCCUUUCUUAUCUUUGAAUUCCAAGUCAAAUUCCUGCAAAAGUAAUACCCAACGAAUUAGUCUAGCUUUUGCAUGUUUCUUUGUGAGAAGAUAUUUAAGAGCAGCAUGAUAUGUGAAUAUAAUUAUUUUACAACCAAUGAGAUAAGAUCGAAAUUUCUCUAAUAUAAACACUACUGCUAGCAUUUCUUUUUCAGUAGUUGAAUAGUUCAACUAUGCAUCAUUCAAUGUCAUACUAGCAUAGUAAAUAACAUGGGGAAUUCGAUCAACUCUUUGUCCUAAUACUGCUCCUACUGCAUAAUCAGAUGCAUCGCACAUGAGCUCAAAUGGUAAGCUCCAAUUUGGGGGCUGAAUGAUGGGUGAUGAUGUCAACAACUGCUUUAACUUUUCAAAUGCCACAAGACAUGAAUCAUUAAAGACAAAAGGUACAUCCUUAGCAAGUAAAUUGCAUAAGGGUCUAGAAACAUUGCUAAAAUCUUUAAUGAAACGUCUAUAGAAACCAGCAUGCCCAAGGAAAGAUCUUACUUCUUUGACUAUUUUGGGUGAAGGAAGAUUAGAAAUGAGAUCCACCUUGGCUUUGUCAACCUCAAUACCUUUGCUCGAAAUGAUGUGACCGAGAACAAUACCUUGUUUUACCAUAAAAUGGCAUUUCUCCCAAUUUAAAACUAAAUUCUUCUUGAUACAUCUCUGCAGAACUAAUGUUAGAUGAUGUAAACAUUGAUCAAAUGAAUCACCAAAGACAGAAAAGUCAUCCAUAAAGACUUCAAGGAAUUGUUCAACCAUAUCAGAAAAAAUGAUUAACAUGCAUCGUUGAAAUGUAGCAGGUGCAUUACAUAAUCCAAAUGGCAUUCUCCUAUAUGCAAAAGUGCCAAAAGGGCAAGUGAAAGUGGUCUUCUUUUGAUCUUUUGGUGCUAUGGGAAUCUGAUUGUAUCCUGAGUAGCCAUCUAGAAAGCAAUAAAAUUCAUGGCUUGCUAAUCUAUCAAGCAUUUGAUCAAUAAAUGGUAAAGGAAAAUGGUCUUUACGUGUGACAGAAUUCAACUUUCUAUAAUCAAUGCAUACACGCCAUCCUGUAGUCACUCUAGUUGGUAUCAAUUCAUUAUCAGCAUUCGUAACUACUGUGACUCCUGACUUUUUGGGGACAACUUGUACAGGACUGACCCAUGAACUAUCAGAAAUUGGAUAAAUGAUACCUGUAUCUAAUAGCUUAAGGACUUCAGUUCUAACAACUUCUUUCAUAUUAGGAUUUAACCGACAUUGCAUUUCCCUAGUAGAUUUAGCAUUUUCAUCAAGGUGAAUGUAAUGCAUGCAGUCUACUGGGUUUAUACCUUUUAUGUCCGCUAUGGUCCAUCCUAAUACUCCUUUGUGCUCUUUUAAAACAUCCAACAACUUACCUUUUUGUCCGUCAUUUAGGGAUGAUGAGAUGAUUAUCGGUAGAGUACUUUCUUCUCCCAAAAAUGCAUAUUCCAAUGUGUUGGGCAAUGGUUUGAGCUCGAGUUUUGGUGGUGAUUCUGAUGAUGGGAUGAGUUUCUUCUCUGAUGGUGCUAGUUAUUCAACUCUUGACUUCCAUUUAUUAGUGUCCAUGGAUGGUGCUGAGUCAAGUAGGGCGUUGACCUCAUCGACUGAUCUGUCAAUAUCAAAAUCCAAACCAAAGUGAGUUAAACAUGUUUGUAAAGGAUCAUCACUAAGGUUUGAAAGAAAAGUGUCAUCAACUAUUGUUUCUAUUAAAUCCACAUCAACAAUUCCAUCAUCUGCAUUGUGAGGUUGUUUGACAAUGUUGAAGAUGUUCAGCUCCAUAGUCAUGUUGCCGAAGGACAACUGCAUAUUUCAUGUCCUACAUUGAAUGUGAACAUCCGCAGUUGCCAAGAAAGGUCGGCCUAGAAUAAUGGAGAUGUGCUUCCUUGAAUCCUGUAUUGGUUGAGUGUCAAUUACAAUGAAAUCAACAGGAAAAUAAAACUUGUCUACCUGGAUAAGCACGUCCUCCACAAUACCAUGAGGUAUUUUCGUGGACCAAUCUGCAAGCUGUAACACCACUGGAGUUGGGUGUAAUUCUCCCAGUCCAAGUUUCACAAAUACUGAAUAAGGCAACAAAUUUACACUAGCUCCUAAAUCCAACAAAACAUUCUCAAUUGUGUGGUUCCCUAUACUACAUGAGAUAGUGGGGAAGCCUGGGUCUUUGCAUUUUAAAGGAAUUUUAUGUUGGAGUAUAGAACUAAUAUUUUCUGUUAAAAAUGCAUUCUUUUGAACAUGCAUAUUUCUCUUUUUAGUACAAAGGUCUUUAAGAAACUUGGCAUAAGAUGGAACUUGCUUAAUAGCAUCAAGCAAUGGGAUGUUAACACUUACCUGUUUGAAGAUUUCAAGAAUCUCACCUGUGGAUUUUCCCUUAUUUCCUUUAGCUAACCUUUGAGGAAAUGGAGCUUUAGGAAUGUAUUCCCGUGGGUUGGUUUCUUCUUUCUCCUCCGGUGAUGAGUCCUCAACAUUCACAGGUACAAUUUGAUUUUCUCUUGUCACCGGCAUCUCCACUUUGUUGUCGACUUCUUUUCCUUUUCGCAAGGUCAUGACUGCUUUGACUUCUCCAUGCUGCUGUGGUGAGCUGGUACUUGCUUCAUGUACUCCUUUAGGAUUAGGCACUGGUUGACUUGGAAACUUGCCUUUGUCAACAGUCAUUGCCAAGGUCUGAACUGAAGAAGCAAGCUGUCCCACCAUCUUCUCGAGGCUUGAAACUGAUUGGGCUUGUGAAUUGAAGCUUGCUCUCAACUCAUUUCGUAGUCCAUCAAUGGUGCGGUUCUGUUGCUCAAUCGUGGAGUGAGUAACAUUCUUGAAAUUUUGGAAUGCAUCCUCCCAUGAUCUGGGUUGAGAGUAGUUCUGGUUCUGAUUGUAUGGUCUAAAUGGGGGCUGAGAGGCUUGAGGAAUUUGAGGAAUUGGUUGCAUUGGUGGAGCUGGAGCUGCUGGUCCAUUCUGUUGGAGUCCUUGAGACCAUGAAAAAUUGGGGUGGUCUCUCCAUUCAGGGUUAUAUGUGUUGGAGUAUGGGUUGUAAUUUGAUGGCUUUCUCAUUACACCUAUGGCAUUGGCUUGAUCUGAGUAUGAGUCAGGGUCAUGUGGCUCUGUUGAUUUAGCAGUCGAUAACGAUGCUAUUUGUCGAGCAAGACCUUUAACCAUCUCCUUGACUUCUUUGAUUCCCGAAGUUGACUCGCCAAUUUGAACCUCAUUUACUCCCUUAAUUCUUCUAGUAUUCCUGAGUGAUCGACUCCGUUGUUGGGAAUUAUCCGCUUGUCCCUGGAAGAAUUCCCAAAUCUCUGAUGCACUUUUUGACAUUAGCUCUCCUCCACUUGUUGCCAUUAGCCAUUCUUCCACAUUCGGCAAUAAUUCCUCCAAAAAGUAUUGGCAUUGGUGCCAUUUCUCGUACCCAUGAUGUAGACACUUCAAGAGUAGCCCAUUGAAUCGCUCCCAUGUUUCGAAAAAUUGCUCGUCCUCUCUCUGUGUAAACUCUGAAAUUUCCCUGCGAAUAGCAUUGGUUUUAUGCACUAGGAAAUAUUUAUUCAAAAAUUUUGUUACCAUUUGUUCCCAUGAUGAAAUGCUAUUAGCAGGUAAAGUAUUUAACCAUGAACGAGCUCUAUCCUUUAAAGAAAAUGGGAAUAAUCUGAGUUUAACAUCAUCGUCUGAAAAAUUUUCAUAUUUAAAAGUUUGACAAAUGGCAUGAAAAUCAUUCAGAUGAUUAUAUGGGUCCUCAUUUUCUAGGCCAUAGAAUGUUGGGAGACAAUUUAGCACACUAGGUUUUAAUUCAAAACUCCUAGCAGCUACAUUUGGGUAUCUUAUACAUGAUGUGCUCAAAUUAGCUAAGGGACUGAAAUAAUCCUUAAAUGGCCUCUCCUGUGGUGCUUGUAAAUCCAUUCCAAAUUUAUUUUUAAUGUGCUUGUGUGUGCGGAGUGUUUUUUCUAAUUCAAGGUCUAUAGGUUCAAGAUUAGGUAAUAAUGACCUACGACCAUGCAUGCAAAACAAAUAAAAUAAAAAUAAAGAUGGGAACAAAACAAAUAAAAAUAAAUAAGAGGGAGAAAUUACGAUACUAACCUUAUCGCGAUGUUACAACCUUUCUAUAAAAACACACUAAAACAAAUACGUGAAAUAAAUUAACUAAGAAUAAAUUAAUAAGAUAAAAAAAAUUUACAAAGAAAAAUAAAUUGAAAAUUAAAUUACAGAAUUUUAAAGAAGAGAAAAAGAAAAGAAAUAUUAACCUUUAAAUGUAGAUUCACUUUUUUUUUCUUUUUUUUAAUAAAAAAAUUACAAGAAAAUAAUUAAAAGAAAUUAAUCACAAAAAUUAAUUCUAUGAAUUAAAAUUACUUACCUCCCCGGCAACGGCGCCAAAAACUUCUUGUGCAAAUUUUAAUGAACUCGCAAGUGCACGAAUCUAUUGUAGUAUAGAUCAAUGGUGACGAGUGUCGAUCCCACGAGGAGGUAUAUUUUAAUUAUAUGUAGAAUUAAUUUUGUAAAUGGGUGGUUGGAAUUGUGGUAGAAGUGAUUUAAAUUAUCCUAAAAUUGGAAUUGAAAUGGCGAUAAUAAAUUCUAAAAUUAGAAUUGCAAUGGCGAGAAUAAAUUGAAGCGAAAUCUAUUGAAAUGACGUACUUGGGUAUCUGGAUCCGUAUCAACAUGCACCAUGGGCUAAAUAUUCCUUAUUAAUACCAAUUAAAUCAUGAGGGGGGAAUCCACACCUCAUGAACCACACUCUAAUCAAUAUGGUGCUAAGGGCUUAUCGUGCCAAAUAAUAAUAACGUUGUACUAGGGGGCCGGUGAAACCAAGGCGGUACUAGACAAGAUUAGUAUCAUUUGUCGACGAGAAGUCAAAACAUCCACAAAAAUUAGAGGGGAAGAGAAAAUGAAUUUACCAAAUAAAGCCUAUGACACAUGUUGAGACUUCACCUUCAACCCAAGCUUGAAAGAAAAUUAGCUACUCAUAAUUGAACUAGGGGCAAAAUGGAAAUUUAUUAAAAUAUGAAGAAAAUACAAGAUGGAGAAGGAAUUACAGAAAAUGGAUCCCAAAAAUGGAUUCAGAGAUAACAAAUUAGGGGGGGAGGCCCCCUUUUUAUAGAUACAUGGAGUAAAUCAUGGUCAUCGGAUUAAAAACAGUUUGGACGCUCAGGAUUGUGCCACGUCAUCAGUCAACAGUACGCGGUUUGACCACUUGGAUGAACAGUAACACGGUUUGACCCAGGUUGAACAGUAACGCAGUUUGGUUGAAAAUAAUCCUGUGUGAUGCAUGUACCGUACGCGAGAUUUUUUGUCCACUGAUAUGCUGCCACGUCACCAUCAACAGUACAUAAGAAUUUUAGUCCAACAGGAUCAUGAAACCUCAUCAGUCAAUGCCACAUCAUCGGUCAAUGCCACGUCAUCGAUCCGUCUAUGUGAACAGUGUCGUGAACAGUAACUUAUACAGUACCGCACACGUGAAUAGUACCGUACAUGUGAAUAGUGUCAUUUUUCCUUUUAUGCUCCUCCUAAGGUUUUCGACCAUCCUGAGUUCAAAAGUGAUGUCCGUUUUACCGUCUGAUCUCUCCUUUAUUGUGAAAUGACUAUAAUGCCCCUAAAAUACAUAAAUACUUAAUUAAAAUAAAACACAUGUAAUUAAAUUACAAGAAUGUUAAAUACAUAAAAGUAAAGGUUGUUAGUAAGACUUGAAAUGUAAAAUGACGGGUUUCUCCUUUAUAAAUAUGCAUUUUCUAACACUCAACACCUCUUUCGUCCUAGGUUUUCAAUAAUGGGAGCAAUCGCCUCCAUAAAUUACAUAGAAAUAAUUAUUAUUAGCUUUAAUUUAUUUUAAAUAAUAUGAAAAGGAAAAGAAGUUGAUAAAUAUUUUUUAUUUGUGUCUUAUCUAUUCAUGUCACCGUGACAAAUCUUUAGGGAAUCUUUUUAGUCAUUAAUUAAGCUUUGUUCAAUUGCUUCGUUUUUCAGCUCGCUUUGACUAAAUCAAAGGAACUACAUGGUCAUAAAGCACUUAAGUAUAAUAGCUCAAAGAUUAUCUGCUACCCGCAAAGCUAAUUAAAUUAAUAUGACUCUCCAAGUCAACAGGGCGGAUUUUUCUUUUUCUGCUGUGCAUAUAUUUAGCCAUCUCCUUCACCACAGCGAAAGUGUUUUUUUUUUAAUUUUUUAAAAACUUUUUUCCUAGUGAUGAAGGUUGAAAUUAAGUUAUUAAAUAAAAUAGAAGAGCUUAAGGAAAUUAACAAGAAUGUGCUUAAUCGAUCAAGUAGACGGUUAAUUUAUAAAAAAAAAUGCUCUGUGUGAUUAUCUGAAAAUUGCAGAAACGCUAUCAGUUUGUCAUUUCUAUUAACUUUCUUUCUCUGCAGCAAAAUAAUUAAGCAUUGGAAGUAUGCAUAUAAAUAAGGAGGCAGCAAGGUUAUUGGAUUUUUUUAAGGCAAUGAAUGAAGUCAGUCCCUGCACUAACUACUUGGCUGAUGCCUUAGUAAUUAAUUGCUCAACAUUAUGAUGUAGUUACUGGGAAUAAACUGUAUUUCUUUAGUAUUUGUAAGGAAAUAAACUACAACUUCCUUUCUUUAGUAUUUGUAAGGAAAUAAACUACAACUUCCUUGUUCACUAAUUUUUCUUUGAAAUAACUGAGUUUACUUAUAAAUAGUGUAUGAAUAUUUUUUCUUUAGAACAAAAUAGAUUUAUUUAUAUUAACCAUUGUUUCUCUAAUGGUUGGGAAUUGGCAGCUAAUUUUUUCUCCCUUUUCCAUGUAUGCAGAUUUGCUCAAUGUGUUUGAAGUGUUUAUUCCUCAACUUCACUUGUAUCCUAACCCAUACAGUCUAUUGAAUGGAGAAGCUGCUGGUGUGAUAACGCAAUUAUACUACUCAUAUUCAAAGAGUGAAAGACAGUCAUCAUUAUCAAUUUAGCUUCUAGAUUUAUUAAAUUUGGCCACAAGUAGUAGACAUUUGAUUGGAUGGUGAAAUUUUUAUGUAUUGAAUUUAGAUUAUUUAGUUAUGAGAGUAGGAUAUCUCAUUUUUUGGCUAUUGAAGUUGAAUUUGUAAUAUAUACUAAUAAUAUUUAAAUGUGAAAUGAAAGAUUUUGUGAUAUAAAUCAAUUUCUUUUUGUUAUUUUGUGGUGCUUUUAAUUUUACCAAUAAAUCAAUAGGCAAUGAUCCAAUUCAAUUUUUUAAAAAAAAUAAAUUAACUAGUGAUACCAUAGUAACAAUAAUUAUAGACACAAAAAAAAUAUCAAUAAUUACUAACACUAUGCUAUCAUAAUAUUGGUGAUAUUGUAGUAAUAGUAAUCACUGACACCACUUACAAGUGUCACUAUUUUUCUGACUCCCAGAUUACUGACACAAUUAACAAGUGUCAGUGAAAGUAAUUUCUGACACUAUUCUAAAGUCAGUAAAGACUGUUUUUCUAGUAAUGAGGUCUCACGUAUCGUUUUAUUUUUUUUCUGACAACCGAUCAUCAGAGAGAGAGCAGAGAACAUUAAAGGAUUUUUUAAGAGAAUAUGUUGAUCUGGAAGGCUAACCACACUAUUCUAAAAAGCAAUUAAGCAUUAUGGAUCCAGAUAUACUUCUACAUAUCAUAUUAUUGAUUCUUGUUGAUAUAACAUUAAUGUUCCUAGACUAUAGGUAAUCAUUUUAAGUAUAGGAUUAUUAUCGUUCUAAUAUUUUCUUGUGAAGAGCUUUACUGGGUAUUCUUCCAACAUCUUAUAAUUUAUUUAAAAGGAAGGUAAUGCAAUCUCAUAUUUGUCAAAGGUCCAAUAGAGUGUAGGAGGAUAGCUUCCAUGCUUUAGUGGCAUGUAGAGUUGUUAAGAAGGUAUGGCGAUUAUCAAUCUUGGCAAAUUUUGCGAUUAGUUUUGAAAGCACCAAUUUCUCAUGCUUUGCUCAAUCAUUGGCUGAUUAAAUGUCUAAGGAGAAUUUUGAGUCUUUUGUGGUCUUGCCUUGCUCAAUUUGGAGGGACAAAAACUUGAUUCUUCACAAUGAUGUGGGAAAUGACAUUUUGAGCUUGAUAAUCAGAGCUGAAUCUAUUAUUGAGAACUAUAAGUUAGUGCAACAAUCUCUAGCGACCGUGCCUUCUAUGAAUUAGAAUUAUAAGGAAGAAAAAUAGGUUGCUCCACCAAAUAAUCGGUAGAAACUUAAUACUGAUGCAGCUAUUAAAUCUUUAGAAAGUAUUUCUAGCCUUGGUACUAUUAUUAAAAACUCAAGAGGAGAAGUUAUGGUAGCAUCAGUCAAUAUAAAGUCCUUUUUUUGUAGGGAUGUGGAAUUUGCAAAAGCUUAUGCAGUUGUUCAGGGGGUUAAGCUAGCAAUUGACUUAGGUUUAACUCCCUUGAUUGUUAAACUUGAUUCAGUAAAUGUUGUUACUUUGAUUAAUGGAAGUUUGUCUAGCAAAAAAAAAGAGAUUGGCUGGCUAGUAUGGGAGAUCAAAGGUCUUAUAAUUAAUAGAGCUGCCAUUAAAGUUAAAUUGGUUGGCUAUUAUAGGAGAUCAAGGGUCCUAUAUAGAGCUUCCAUUAUAGUUAAACAUGCACCUAGAUGUUAUAAUGAGGUGGCUCACAUUUUAAGCAAAUUGGAAUUUUCUUUUCCAAAGUUAGCAUAUUAGAAUAGAAGAUUGUCUUGUUGAAAUUGUCAGUCUCUUGUGAUGUUUUGUUAUUCAACAUGUAGUCAGCUUUUCAAAAAGCAAAAAAAUGGCAGUACAAAUAAAGUCCACAUAGUACAUGUUGCUUAAUGCGCACUAAUUCUACAAUCUUGAUUAUGAGUAAUUUAUCUGUCACCAUUUGCAAUAUGGCCAUCAAAACCCAUUUAUAAAUCGAGGCCAGUAAUAGAUUGUCAUCACAACUGGGGAGAAAGCUACGAUUCAUCCAAAUGGAUCCAACGGCUGGAUGCAACGGUGAUACCGUAUCACCGUUGCACUGUAGUCGGACCCCACAACUGGACCCAUGAUGAUGAUAACAAUAAAUAAUAAAUAAUUUUUAAUUUUUUUGUUAUUUAAUAGGUUAGCUUUUAGGUCAAAAUGAUGGAAGGCGCCCAUUGGGUACCGUAUUCAGGGGUGGGUAAAUUAUUUGACCUGACUUAAAAUAUUUCGGGUUUAGAUCGGAUCGAAUUGUAAAAAAAAUCCGAUCGGAUGAAAACGGUAAAACCCGAUCAGGUUCUUUAAAAAAAAAAAUAAACACAUACACGCACGCCAGACAGAGUCACACAAAAUACAAAUCACACUUACAAAUUCAUUUACAAUACACACACAACACAAAUCUCACACACAACACAAAUCACACUCACAGAUUCAUUUACAAUCCACACACAAACACAAGUCAGUGAAAUCACAGUGAUUCAUUUACAAAUCACACAAAAUACAAAUCACACUUACAAAUUCAUUUACUUGAGAUCGUAUUAUUUCUAAGCUGAGGGCAUAUUUAUUUCAUCUUGGUGAGAGCAUGUGAUAUCAUUUCUUUAUUAUUUUCUCUCUCAAUUACCAUUCAUUGGAGUGACUGUGUUUAUUGGGUUUUGAUUUCUUUGUGAGAGUGUCACUACUUCCAGUGAGAUUUUGGGGUUUGACAUGUCAUUCUUGAAAGUAGCUAUAACAAAGUCUACUAGGCCGAUUCAUGUGGAUGGUUGAUGUGGGUGUGAUAUUGCUUUAGACUGGAGAUAAUGCUUAUACUUUUAUUUGAUUGCUAUCAUUAAUCUGAUUGAAUAAACACGAGUGUUUCUAAAAAUAUAUAUAUAUAUAUAUAUAUAUAUUGAAUUUGAAUUUUGUUUUCGCUUUAUUUGCUAGGGACUAGCAAUAAGCUGGUUGGGGGGUGUGUUGAGUGUUAGAAAAUACAUAUUUAUAAAAGGAGAAAACCGUCAUUUUACAUUUCAAGUCUUACUAACAACCCUUACUUUUAUGUAUUUAACCUUCUUGUGAUGUAAUUACGUGUGUGUUAUUUUAAUUAAGUAUUUUAUGUAUUUGAGGGGCAUUAUAGUCAUUUCACAAUAAAAGAGAAAUCAUACGGCAAAACGGACAUCACUUUUGAACUCAGGACGGUCAAAAACCUUAGGAGGAGCAUAAAAGGAAAAAUGGCACUAUUCACAUGUACGGUACUAUUCACGUAUACGGUACUGUCUACGUUACUGUUCACGACACUGUUCACAUAGACGGAUCGACGACGUGGCAUUGACCGAUGAUGUGGCAUUGACUGAUGGGUGUCAUGAUCCUGUUGGACUAAAAUUCUUAUGUACUGUUGACGGUGACGUGGCAGCAUAUCAGUGAACGAAAAAUCUCGCGUACGGUGCAUGCAUCACACAGGAUUAUUUUCAACCCAACCGUGUUACUGUUCAUCUGGGUCAAACCGUGUUACUGUUCAUCCACGUGGUCAAACCGUAGACUGUUGACUGAUGACGUGGCGCAAUCCUGAGCGUCCAAACUGUUUUUAAUCCGAUGGCCAUGAUUUACUCCAUGUAUCUAUAAAAAGGGGGCCUCCCCCCCCCCCUAAUUUGAUAUCUCUUAAUCCAUUUUUGGGAUCCAUUUUCUGUAAUUCCCUCUCCAUCUUGUAUUUUCUUUGUAUUUUAAUAAAUUCCCAUUUUGCCCCUAGUUCAAUUAUGAGUAACUAAUUUUCUUUCAAGCUUGGGUUGAAGGUGAAGUCUCAACAUGUGUCAUGGGCUUAAUUUGGUAAAUUUAUUUUCUCUUCCCCUCUAGUUUUUGUGGAUGUUUUGACUUCUCGUCGACAAAUAAUAAUAAUCUUGUCUAGAUACCGCCUUGGUUACACCGGCUCUCUAGUAUAAGGUUAUUAUUAUUUGGCACGAUAAGCCCUUAGCACCAUAUUGAUUAGAGCGUGGUUCAUGAGGUGUGGAUUCCCCCCUCAUGAUUUAAUUGGCAUUAAUACAGAUUAUUUAGCCCAUGAUGCAUGUUGAUACGGAUCCAGAUACCCAAGUACGUCAAUUUAAUCGAUUUUCUCUACAAUUUAUUCUCGCCAUUGCAAUUCCAAUUUUAGCAUAUUUAUUAUCGUCAUUUCAAUUCCAAUUUUAGCAUAUUUUAAAUCACUUCCACCACAAUUCCAACCACCCAUUUACAGAAUUAAUUCUACACACAAUUAAAAAUCCAUCUCCUCGUGGGAUCGACACUCGUCACCAUUGAUCUAUACUACAAUAGAUUCGUGCACUUGCGAGUACAUUAAAAUUUGCACAACAAGUUUUUGGCGCCGUUGCCGGGGAGGUAAGUAAUUUUAAUUCAUAGAUUUAAUUUUUGUGAAUAAUUUCAUUUAAUUGUUUUCUUGUAUUUUUUUUUUUUUGUUCUUUAAAAAAAAAAAAAAGUAAAUCUACAUUUAAAGGUUAGUAUUUCUUUUCUUUUUCUCUUCUUUAAAAUUCUGUAAUUUAUUUUUCAAUUUAUUUUUUUCUUUGUAAUUUUUGUUUAUCUUACUAAUUUUUUUUAGUUAAUUUAUUUCAUGUAUUUUUUGUUUUUGUGUGUAUUUUUAUAGUAAGGUUGUAAUAGCGCAAUAAGGUUAGUAUUGUAAUUUCUCUCUCUUCUUUAUUUUUAUUUGUUUUGUUCCAUCUUUAUUUUUAUUUUAUUUAUUUUGCAUGCAUGGUCGUAGGUCAUUAUUAUCUAAUCUUGAACCUAUAGACCUUGAACUUGAGAAAACACUUCGCACACAAAAGCACAAUAAAAAUAAAGUUGGAAUGGAUUUACAAGCACCACAGGAGAGGCCAUUUAAGGACUAUUUUAGUCCCUUAGCUAAUUUGAGCACAUCAUGUAUUAGAUACCCAAAUGUAGCUGCUAGGAGUUUUGAAUUAAAACCUAGUGUGCUAAAUUGUCUCCCCACAUUCUAUGGCUUAGAAAAUGAGGACCCAUAUAAUCAUCUGAAUGAUUUUCAUGCAAUUUGUCAAACUUUUAAAUAUGAAAAUUUUUCAGACGAUGAUGUUAAACUUAGAUUAUUCCCAUUUUCUUUAAAGGAUAGAGCUCGUCCAUGGUUAAAUACUUUGCCUGCUAAUAGCAUUGCAUCAUGGGAACAAAUGGUUACAAAAUUUCUAAAUAAAUAUUUCCCAGUGCAUAAAACCAAUUCUAUUCGCAGGGAAAUUUCAGAGUUUACACAAAGAGAGGACGAGCAGUUUUUCGAAACUUGGGAGCGAUUCAAUGGGCUACUCUUGAAGUGUCCACAUCAUGGGUAUGAGAAAUGGCACCAAUGCCAAUACUUUUUGGAGGGAUUAUUGCCGAAUGUGCAAGAAUGGCUAAUGGCAACAAGUGGAGGAGAGCUAAUGUCAAAAAGUGCAUCAGAAAUUUGGGAAUUCUUCCAGCGACAAGCGGAUAAUUCCCAACAACGGAGUCGAUCACUCAGGAAUACUAGAAGAAUUAAGGGAGUAAAUUAGGUUCAAAUUGGCGAGUCAACUUCGGGAAUCAAAGAAGUCAAGGAGAUGGUUGAAGGUCUCGCUCGACAAAUAGCAUCGUUAUCGACUGCUAAAUCAACAGAACCACAUGACCAUGACUCAUACUCCGAUCAAGCCAAUGCCAUAGGUGUAAUGAGAAAACCAUCGAAUUACAACCCAUACUCCAACACAUAUAACCCUGGAUGGAGAGACCACCCUAAUUUUUCAUGGUCUCAAGGAUUCCAACAGAAUGGACCAGCAGCUCCAGCUCCACCAAUGCAACCAAUUCCUCAAAAUCCUCAAGCCUUUCAGCCCCCAUUUAGACCAUACAAUCAGAACUAGAAUUACUCUCAACCCAGACCAUGGGAGGAUUCAUUCCAGAAUCUCAAGAAUCUUACUCACUCCACAAUUGAGCAACAGAACCGCACCAUUGAUGGACUACGAAAUGAGUUGAGAGCAGGCUUCAACUCACAAGCUCAAUCAGUUUCAAGCCUGGAGAAAAUGGUGGGACAACUCACUUCUUCAGUUCAGACCUUGGCAAUGACUGUUGAGAAAGGCAAGUUUCCAAGUCAACCAGUGCCUAAUCCUAAAGGAGUGCAUGAAGCAAGUACCAGUUCACCACAGCAGCAUGGAGAGGUCAAAGCAGUCAUGACCUUGCGAAAAGGAAAAGAAGUCGACAACAAAGUAGAGAUGCCGGUGACCAAAGAAAAUCAAAUUGUACCUGUGAAUGUUGAGGACUCACCACCGGAGGAAAAAGAAGAAACCAACCCACGAGAGUACAUUCCCAAGGCUCCAUUUCCUCAGAGGUUAGCUAAAGGAAAAAAGGGAAAAUCCACAGGUGAGAUUCUCGAAAUCUUCAAACAGGUAAGUGUCAAUAUCCCUUUGCUUGAUGCUAUAAAACAAAUUCCAUCUUAUGCCAAGUUUCUUAAAGACCUUUGUACUAAAAAGAGAAAUAUGCAUGUUCAAAAGAAGGCUUUUUUAACAGAAAACGUUAGUUCUAUACUCCAACAUAAAAUUCCUUUAAAAUGCAAAGACCCAGGCUCCCCCACUAUCUCAUGUAGUAUAGGGAACCACACAAUUGAGAAUGCUUUGUUGGAUUUAGGAGCUAGUGUAAAUCUUUUGCCUUACUCUGUAUUCGUGAAACUUGGACUGGGAGAAUUACACCCAACUCCAGUGGUGUUACAGCUUGCAGAUCGGUCCACGAAAAUACCUCGUGGUAUUGUGGAGGACGUGCUUAUUCAGGUAGACAAGUUUUAUUUUCCUGUUGAUUUCAUUAUAAUUGACACUCAACCAAUACAGGACUCAAGGAAGCACAUCCCCAUUAUUCUAGGCCGACCUUUCUUGGCAACUGCAGAUGCUCAUAUUCAAUGUAGGACCGGAAAUAUGCAAUUGUCAUUCGGCAACAUGACUAUGGAGCUAAAUAUUUUCAACAUUGCCAAACAACCUCACAGUGCAGAUGAUGGAAUUGUUGAUGUGGAUUUAAUAGAAACAAUAGUUGAUAAUACUUUUCUUUCAAACCUUAAUGAUGACCCUUUACAGACAUGCUUAACUCACUUUGGUUUGGAUUUUGAUAUUGACAGAUCGGUUGAUGAGGUCAACGCUCUACUUGACUCAGCACCAUCCAUGGACACUAAUAAAUGGAAGUCAAGAGUUGAACAACUAGCACCAUCAGAGAAGAAACUCAUUCCAUCAUCAGAAUCACCACCGAAACUCGAGCUCAAACCAUUACCCAACACAUUGGAAUAUGCAUUUUUGGGGGAAGAAAGUACUCUGCCGGUAAUCAUCUCAUCAUCCCUUAAUGACGAAUAAAAAGGUAAGUUGUUGGAUGUUUUGAAAGAGCACAAAGGGGCAUUAGGAUGGACCAUAGCAGACAUAAAAGGUAUAAACUCUGCAGAUUGCAUGCAUUACAUUCACCUUGAUGAAAAUGCUAAAUCUACUAGGGAAAUGCAACGUCGGUUAAAUCCUAAUAUGAAAGAAGUUGUUAGAACAGAAGUCCUUAAGCUAUUAGACGCAUGUAUCAUUUACCCAAUUUCUGAUAGUUCAUGGGUCAGUCCUGUACAAGUUGUCCCCAAAAAGUCAGGAGUCACAGUAGUUACCAAUGCUGAUAAUGAAUUGAUACCAACUAGAGUAACUACAUGAUGGCGUGUAUGCAUUGAUUAUAGAAAGUUGAAUUCUGUCACACGUAAAGACCAUUUUCCUUUACCAUUUAUUGAUCAAAUGCUUGAUAGAUUAGCAGGCCAUGAAUUUUAUUGCUUUCUAGAUGGCUAUUCAGGAUAUAAUCAGAUUCCCAUAGCACCAAAAGAUCAAGAGAAAACUACUUUCACUUGCCCUUUUGGCACAUUUACAUAUAGGAGAAUGUCAUUUGGAUUAUGUAAUGCACCUGCUACAUUUCAACGAUGCAUGUUAAGCAUUUUUUCUGAUAUGGUUAAACGAUUCCUUGAAGUCUUCAUGGAUGACUUUUCUGUCUUUUUGAUUCGUUUGAUCAAUGUUUACAUCAUCUAACGCUAGUUCUGCAGAGAUGUACCGAGAAGAACUUAGUCUUGAAUUGGGAGAAGUGCCAUUUUAUGGUAAAACAAGGUAUUGUUCUCAGUCACAUCAUUUCGAGCAAAGGUAUUGAGGUUGACAAAGCCAAGGUGGAUCUCAUUUCUAAUCUUCCUCCACCUAAAACAGUUAGAGAAGUAAGAUCUUUCAUUGGGCAUGUUGGUUUCUAUAGACGUUUCAUUAAAAAUUUUAGCAAAGUUUCUAGACCCUUAUGCAAUUUACUUGCUAAGGAUGUACCUUUUAUCUUUAAUGAUUCAUGUCUUAUGGCUUUUGAAAAAUUAAAACAAUUGUUGACAUCACCACCCAUCAUUCAGGCCCCAAACUGGAGCUUACCAUUUGAGCUCAUAUGUGAUGCAUCUGAUUAUGCAGUAGGAGCAGUAUUAGGACAAAGAGUUGAUCGAAUUCCCCAUGUUAUUUACUAUGCUAGUAUGACAUUGAAUGAUGCACAGUUGAACUAUUCAACUACUGAAAAAGAAAUGCUAGCAGUAGUGUUUGCAUUGGAAAAAUUUCGAUCUUAUCUCAUUGGUUGUAAAAUAAUUAUAUUCACAGAUCAUGCUGCUCUUAAAUAUCUUCUCACAAAGAAAGAUGCAAAAGCUAGACUAAUUCGUUGGGUGUUACUUUUGCAGGAAUUCGACUUGGAAUUCAAGGAUAAGAAAGGCACAGAAAAUGUUGUGGCGGACCACCUCUCUCGUCUCCAUUUUGACACAAUUACAGAGCCAUUAAUAUUAAAUGAGUCAUUUCCAGAUGAACAAUUAAUGAGUGUGGAAGUAUUACCUUAGUAUGCUGAUAUAGUUAAUUAUCUUGUUACAGGUAAAUUUCCAGAGCAUUGGACCAAGCAAGACAAGGCUAAAUUCUUUGCGGAAAUAAAGAAUUUCUUUUGGGAUGACCCAUAUUUGUUCAAGUAUUGUGCAGACCAAAUUGUUAGACGAUGUGUCCCUGAAAGUGAAAUUCAGAAUAUCCUUUCAUUCUGCCAUGAACAAGCUUGUGGAGGCCAUUUCAGUGCUAAGAAAACAGCGACUAAAGUUUUACAAUGUGGUUUCUAUUGGCCAAUUAUAUUUCGAGAUGCUUACACUUUCUGUUCUUCAUGUGAUAGGUGUCAACGAAUGGGGAGUAUUAAACGAAGGAACAUGAUGCCACUAAAUCCAAUUUUAGUGGUUGAGAUUUUUGACGUAUGGGGUAUCGACUUCAUGGGACCCUUUCCCUCUUCUUUUGGCCAUCAAUACAUAUUGGUUGGUGUUGACUACGUUUCAAAAUGGGUAGAAGCAAUUCCAUGUAGAACCAAUGAUCACAAAGUGGUGAUAGGAUUUUUGAAAAGCAACAUUGUCUCACGCUUUGGAUUCCCUCGAGCAAUAAUCAAUGAUGGUGGUGCCCACUUUUGUAACAAAGCAUUCAAAGCUCUUUUGACAAAGUAUUCAAUCACCCACAAAGUGGCGACCCCUUAUCAUCCGCAAACCAGUGGCCAAGUUGAGAUCUCCAAUCGAGAAAUAAAGCACAUAUUAGAAAAAACGGUGAGGCCAGACAGAAAAGAUUGGUCAUUAAGACUUGAUGAUGCAUUAUGGGCAUAUAGAACGGCUUUCAAGACCCCGAUUGGGAUGUCACCCUAUAGGCUAGUGUAUGGAAAGCUUGCCACCUACCUGUGGAACUCGAGCAUCGUGCAUAUUGGGCCAUCAAGAAAUUCAACUUUGACAUGCAGCAAGCCAGCUCAGAAAGAAGAUUACAACUGGUAGAACUUGAAGAAAUUCGCAAUGAUGCAUACGAAAAUGCCAAGAUUUACAAGCAACGAAUGAAAGUCUUUCAUGACAAGCACAUUAUGAGAAAAUUGUUCACUCCAGGUCAGAAAGUGCUUUUAUUCCAUUCUCGUUUGCACUUAUUCCCAGGUAAGUUACGCUCUCGAUGGUCUGGUUCCUUUAUUGUUCAUACUGUUUUUCCACAUGGGGCAAUUGAAAUUAAGAACCCAAAGAACGGUGUCACGUUUAAAGUUAAUGGUCAAAGAUUAAAGCCAUAUCUAGAAUACCAACCACAUGGAGAAGACACCGAAAUAAAUUUGAGUGACCCACCAGAUUUGAAUUGAUUUGUUUUUUUCUUUUCGUUGAUUUGAUUUUUCUUUCUUUCUUUUUAUUAUUCUUUUGCUAAUUGAAAUUAUUUUUGCAUAAGUGUGUUUGUCUAACUAUUAAGUUUUCUCUUAUCAUUUUUAAUCAUGAGUACCUUACUUAGACCGUUCCUCCUGAACAUUCUUAAACCACUUCAACGUGUCAAAACUCAUCUCAAAAGGCAGAUUCAAUUUUGUAAAACACAUCGCAUUUGGGCUCUACAACCACCAGAGUUAGUAGCCUAUGUUGAGGGUUUAGAACGCCAACUCAGAGAUAUUGAGAGAAGUGUUUACGACAUCCAGUUGGAACUUGAGGUAAAUUCAAUAAGAGGACGAUUUUAAUUUUCUUUGUGUGUUUUGAUUUAUUUUUCUGUUUGUGUGAUUUAGUUUGUUACCCUGGUGAAGUGGCGGAUAACGGUACUCCGUGACAAUCAAGUCGGAUACUUCAGUUUCCCAUAAUAACUGACAUUCUGAGGUGAAAGUAUGGACAGAAACGAGAUUCUAGCGAAGCUUCACAAGCGAUUCCCUUCACUUCCUCAGAAUGCCCUCUUUACGAUCUAUAAAGCUCGGUCUGAAUGCAUGCGAUUACUCAUGAAGAAUAACAUACCUGCUGACAUCUGUUGGUUAAUCGAGGCUAAAGUACGAUCGGCAGGUGAGUUACCUCCAAAAUUUAUUGCAUUCAUGCCUGGUUGUGGUAAAGGAAAUUAUGCAAGAAAACGACGAGCUCGAAGAAUUUCUGUUGCUUGUCAUAAGUGUGCCAGAAUGAGUUGCGAUAGAAACCCAUGUUCUUUAGGAAUGGUGUCUGAUAACAGGGAAGAUAAGAUUCAAUUCAUUAGGGAUGGCUUGAAUAAGGAGUCAUUGGAUGAUAUUCUUUUGUCUCUUGAAACGCAUCCCAGUGGAUAUGUGCAAGGAGCGAUUCUCCAGUUGUGGCCAUUAUUCCAGGAAGAGCAUGCACGAUAUAGUCUCGGGAAUCUGACUAUAAACGACCAUGUUUGCCAGUUUAUAAGAAAACUGGAUAGGAAGCCUAUCCUCGACCCAUAGAGGGCGUUCAAGCCGUUUCUGGACGUAAAACUAGAGGAAGAUGUGAGCCACAGUCGCAAUUACGUGUAAAUAUCAUUUUACUUUACUGUUAUUUUAUUUCAUUUCACUGUUGUUUUAUUGUUUGCAUUAUUGUAUUUAAUAAUUUUAUUACUGUUUGCUUUUUCCUUUUUACUGUUUCCUUUUUGACUCGCAAGCCAUGUGCUUCACGCGUUAUUUCACACUGACAUCUUACCUCAUUCACAGCUGUGACCCACUAUCACCAAGAUUCUUAAAUGUGAUUUAUCUUUUGUCAAGCACUCACAAAUUGUUUUUGAGAAGUAUCACAAUGGCAGCUACUCCCAAUAGACAAUUCAAAAACAUUUGUGUGCUUUCUGGAUUUACCUAUGGCAAACAUAAAGAGUUCGUGGAGGCAGCCAUAGAUCUUGGUCGAAGCAUAGCAGCGAGAAAAUUACAUUUGGUGUAUGGAGGAGGUAACCGAGGGUUAUCAAAAAUGGUCUCGGAAGCAGCUUUUAUCAGAGGAAGUCAAGUGUUAAGCAUCAUCCCAAGAGUCCUAAAACCAUUGGGCAGUUCGUCUGACUCAUCAACUGGAGAAGAGUUAGUCGUCUCAGGUAUGCAAGAAAGAAUAACUGAAAUGCUUAAUCAUGCUGAUGCUUUUAUUUUCCUUCCAGGAGAUCUUGCAACACUAGAGGCACUUAUGACACUAGCAUCUUGGGCCCAUCUACACAUUCACCAGAAACCCAUCGGUUUGUUAAAUGUCAAUAACUUUUAUGAUGGCUUUAUCGCAUUUCUUAACCAUGCAAUAAAAAACUAUUUCAUUCCUUCUAAUGUGAAAAAACUCUUUAUUUGUGCUCACACUGCUAAUGAGCUACUUGAUAUGUUACAAGCUUAUAAACCGAAGCCAGACCCCUGGACCUUUGUGUUGGAGCGACCAAAUAAUGAUGGUAACAGUAGCCGCAGUAAGAAGUACAAAUUAGAUUUAACUCUCCGCCUGUAAAUAUUUUCUUCUGUGUUGCACCACCCAGGUGAUGUCUUCUAAACUCUACUUCUUUCCUUUAAAACAUUGAGGACAAUGUUUCGUUCUAGUUGGGGGGAGAGAAUAGUCGACAAUUGUGGAAUCUUAGUUAAGUUUUUACUGAUUUUUUGUUGUAGAAACUAACUGUUGCUAACGUUUUGUGUUGAAGAUGGCUGAAUAUGGAGUGUAGUGACUCUAGAAACGUAUCUUCAUCGUUUUAAAAAAAAAUUAAAAAAAAAAAUUCAAACAUUUUCUUUUUCUUUAUUAUGUGUUUAUGUUUAUUUUUCUUCUUUUUAAUUUCUCCUCUAUAAAUAUACAUUUUCCAACUUUUGAGUCGAAGAUGGCUGAAUAUGGAGUGUAGUUCCUCUAGAAACGCAUCUUCUUAAAAAAAAAAAAAAUCAUUUUCGUUUUCUAUCAUUUUACGUGUAACUUUUCUAAUUAGUUUUUAUGCAUCAUUUUCACAUUUCUGCAUGCAUAUUUUCAUUUCAUGUUUAGAAUAGGUUGGGGGAUAGAAUGUUGUUUAAAAAAAAAAAAAAUUGUGUUAUUUGUUUUAACAUUGGAUGACAUGAUUAAUUUCAAAUUUUAGUAUUUGUAUUAUCUUUGGUCUUAAGUGAUGUUACGCUAUGUUUGCUACUUUACAUGUUGAUGUCGGAGACAAAUAUGAGUUGCUUGAAGGAAUGAACAUGUCAUAAAUAAGUGCCAAGUGAGUUGUUGAGCCUAUCAUUUUCUUGGAGAGUAACCCUUUUGCCCAUUCUCUAUACAGCUUAGUAGUUUAUUAUUUUAUACACGAUCUCUAGAUUUCUUUUGAGUUAACCCUUUAAAAAAAAUGGUAAAAUUAAAAAAAAAAAUGUGUGUUGCUACAUUGGGAGGCCCAUCUAACCAGUAGAUAUGGAUAAUUAUUUAGAGCCCUAAAAGACGAUGGAAAGGCCAUCUUUGAUCCGUUUGAGCCUUUCUAGCCAUCCCUUUUAUUAAAUAUCCAUAGUUACCCCUUUUGAGCCUUUAAAAAAAAAAAAAAAAAACAUUUUCUUUGUCAACUUAUCAUCUUGACCCACUCCGAUUUGGAGUAUUACCCGAUGUCUUAUAAGUUCCAUCACCUAUUUAUGUUUGAGAAAAUGUAAAUAAUUAUGUUGUUCAGUGAAGUUAUGCCAAAUAAAAGCCAAAAAAAAAAACAAAAAAAACAAAAAAACAAAAGUUGUUGUUUCAAAAGAAUAAAAUAACAAUAAUAGGUGAAAUCCACCUUGCAACUUCAAAAAAAAAAAAUAUAUAUUUCUGCUUUUUUCUCAAACAUACACUUUGUUUCCUUAUUUCCUUUCUUUGUUAGCCAUAUCCCUAGCCUACGUUACGUCCUAAUAAAAGUCCUUCUUGAUUUUAGGGAACUAUAGUUUGAAGUAGAAGCUAGUUAUAUGGGCUAAAAAGAUGUAGUGAUGCAUAAUAAAAAAAGAAAAAAGAUAAAUAAAGUGGGUUGACUAACAUUUUAUUUGACUUGAGAUCGUAUUAUUUCUAAGCUGAGGGCAUAUUUAUUUCAUCUUGGUGAGAGCAUGUGAUAUCAUUUCUUUAUUAUUUUCUCUCUCAAUUACCAUUCAUUGGAGUGACUAUGUUUAUUGGGUUUUGAUUUCUUUGUGAGAGUGUCACUACUUCCAGUGAGAUUUUGGGGUUUGACAUGUCAUUCUUGAAAGUAGCUAUAACAAAGUCUACUGGGCCGAUUCAUGUGGAUGGUUGAUGUGGGUGUGAUAUUGCUUUAGACUGGAGAUAAUGCUUAUACUUUUAUUUGAUUGCUAUCAUUAAUCUGAUUGAAUAAACACGAGUGUUUCUAAAAAUAUAUAUAUAUAUAUAUUUUGAAUUUGAAUUUUGUUUUCGCUUUAUUUGCUAGGGACUAGCAAUAAGCUGGUUGGGGGGUGUGUUGAGUGUUAGAAAAUACAUAUUUAUAAAAGGAGAAAACCGUCAUUUUACAUUUCAAGUCUUACUAACAGCCCUUACUUUUAUAUAUUUAACCUUCUUGUGAUGUAAUUACGUGUGUGUUAUUUUAAUUAAGUAUUUUAUGUAUUUGAGGGGCAUUAUAGUCAUUUCACAAUAAAGGAGAAAUCAUACGGCAAAACGGACAUCACUUUUGAACUCAGGACGGUCGAAAACCUUAGGAGGAGCAUAAAAGGAAAAAUGGCACUAUUCACAUGUACGGUACUAUUCACGUAUACGGUACUGUCUACGUUACUGUUCACGACACUGUUCACAUACACGGAUCGAUGACGUGGCAUUGACCGAUGAUGUGGCAUUGACUGAUGAGGUGUCACGAUCCUGUUGGACUAAAAUUCUUAUGUACUGUUGACGGUGACGUGGCAGCAUAUCAGUGGACGAAAAAUCUCGCGUACGGUGCAUGCAUCACACAGGAUUAUUUUCAACCCAACCGUGUUACUGUUCAUCCAGGUCAAACCAUGUUACUGUUCAUCCACGUGGUCAAACCGUGGACUGUUGACUGAUGACGUGGCGCAAUCCUGAGCGUCCAAACUAUUUUUAAUCCGAUGGCCAUGAUUUACUCCAUGUAUCUAUAAAAAGGGGGCCUCCCCCCCCCCUAAUUUGAUAUCUCUUAAUCCAUUUUUGGGAUCCAUUUUCUGUAAUUCCCUCUCCAUCUUGUAUUUUCUUUGUAUUUUAAUAAAUUCCCAUUUUGCCCCUAGUUCAAUUAUGAGUAACUAAUUUUCUUUCAAGCUUGGGUUGAAGGUGAAGUCUCAACAUGUGUCAUGGGCUUAAUUUGGUAAAUUUAUUUUCUCUUCCCCUCUAGUUUUUGUGGAUGUUUUGACUUCUCGUCGACAAAUAAUAAUAAUCUUGUCUAGAUACCGCCUUGGUUACACCGGCUCUCUAGUAUAAGGUUAUUAUUAUUUGGCACGAUAAGCCCUUAGCACCAUAUUGAUUAGAGCGUGGUUCAUGAGGUGUGGAUUCCCCCCUCAUGAUUUAAUUGGCAUUAAUACGGAUUAUUUAGCCCAUGAUGCAUGUUGAUACGGAUCCAGAUACCCAAGUACGUCAAUUUAAUCGAUUUUCUCUACAAUUUAUUCUCGCCAUUGCAAUUCCAAUUUUAGCAUAUUUAUUAUCGUCAUUUCAAUUCCAAUUUUAGCAUAUUUUAAAUCACUUCCACCACAAUUCCAACCACCCAUUUACAUAAUUAAUUCUACACACAAUUAAAAAUCCACCUCCUCGUGGGAUCGACACUCAUCACCAUUGAUCUAUACUACAAUAGAUUCGUGCACUUGCGAGUACAUUAAAAUUUGCACAACAAUGACUCUAAUCCAACGAUUGGGAUUUUAAAACUGAACAAUGAUGUGAAGUGGGCAAUUGUACAAUGACGUGAAGUGGGCAACUGUCCAAACCCGUUUCAGCUACCAAAUUAGUUUUAGGGUUUUAUAAACCCUUGCUCGUAUUUCAACAAACGUCAGUGAAAUUUUUCAAGCAGUAAUAUUUUCUUAAUUCUGGAUAACUGUAACUGAAGCAGUGAUGCCGCGAAUUUUUAAAGUGGAUUAUGGUGACUUGUAGUUUGUUGCGGUAGUAUUGAAUGAAACGAAAGGGAUUGCGUAUACUAAAACUUAAGGUAAGUGUAUUUUUAAUAUGAGAUUUUUUAUGUGAAUCAUUUUUUUAUCAUAAUAUAGUUGGUAGGAAACUAGAUUUCAUACUGAUAAUGGAAAAAUUGGGGAGCAAAAAUUUUUUUUAAAAUAAAUUUAUGGAUAUUUUCUCAACAAUAUAGUAAUGUUUAUUUUAGUAAUUUCAUGUAUUAAAAUGAUAUUCGAAUCCAUAGCAAUAAGUCCCAGUUAGCUUGGGUUUUAUUAAGUUUUACAAUGAACAUUUUCAAAAUUAGGAACAGGAAAAUUAAUAUUCCAACAACCAAUAUAGUAGAGUCCAUGGUUAGCAUUAAGAUGGUAACACAGGCAAAUGAUACAUGCUUACCCUUCGUUCCAGAUCUCCUCUGUUUAUUUUUUCCCCCAAUUUUUUUGUUUGUUUUGGGGUUAAUUAUAUGUAUUUGUUUUGUGCUGGACUAGGAAUGUAAGCUGUAUGAUGCUAUGAACUUUAGUUUGAUUAUAAUAAAUAAAGGUAUCGUUGAAUUUCAUAAAUUAAGUUGGUGGGAAGUAAUAAGCAUAAAUCAUGUGAGAUUGAUGGCGGUGCUAGAGAAGUUGGUGGUGAUCAAAGCAUUAAAGGAAGAAUAAAAUGGCAAUGUCGUGAUGAGUUCAUAAGACAUUUGUAAGCUUAGUUAAAGGUUCAUUAAAAUUUAUAGAGAUACAUAAUUUCGCAAUCAUAUGAUGAUAUUGCAGCGGUGAAGUCGUGCAUGAGGUUAAGGCAAGUGAUGGAAUGACUUGCGUUACAAAAGAGGUAUGUGAAGUUGCACUAUAAAAAUAAAAUGAAUUUGUAUUUUCAAGUAGUGAACGUGUAGUUAGUUUAUUUGCCAUGAUUGUGUACUGGACGGAAUUGAAUCCAUGUUUAAGAAUUUACCACUCGAAAGAAAAUGUCAAUACAAAGUCAAUGCGAAUGAAUAGUGAAGUCAGCAGUCGCAAAGGCAAAGUUCUUAACCAUAUGUACUCCAGAUAGAUUAGCGGUGGCAGUUUCACAGCUGACAGAUGAACAAAGAGUGGCUGCUUGUCAAAUGGGCUUUGGUAGUUAAUUGAGAUGAUUGAUACUGUGAGGUGCAUUUUAGAGUUGAAUGGUAUUAGCUUUCGAACAAGAUCAUCAAAGAAACUUCACCAACCAGGAAAUUUAGACUUAAUCUAUGCUCCGCAAAUUCAAAUAUUCUCUAAUAUGAAACUUCUUUUAUGUGCUUGUAGUAUCUCGACGAAUUAAAACUUGCUAUCAAAGUUCUUCCCCCCUUCUUCUUUCAUUUAUACUUGCUGCACCAUUUACUUCACACUCUGUAAAGCCAGAUGAAAGCUUGUUCAUUUAUGUUCACUUGCCAUUCAAAUGCAGUGUUUAUUUCAACUGUCAAAUUGACUACUUGCACGUAUUGAUUUCAGUCGAAACAAGGUUAUUGGUCGAUCAAGAAAUUGAAUCCAUAUGGCCGUUCCAGCGUUAUUCAACCACCUAAUUUCAAAUAUAUGAAUUAGUUCAACCCACUUCAGUGAUCAAAGGCGUGGAACAAAUCAUGAAAGAUUUUUCAGCUAUCAUAAAUUCGAACGGAUGUAGUUUGUAUCCUUUCAGGCUUAGACAGAUUUUCCUUCCAUUAACCUUACAGUGUUGUAAUUAAAAAAAAAAAAAAACUUACAGUGUUAGUAAUCUUAUUACUUGUUUUACAGCUACAAUAGUAUGCCGAAAUUUUUGGCUUUUGAUACAUAAACUUGUAUGUAAUGUACAUUUUAUUGUUCCUUACAACUUAAUUGCUGCUAAAAUAGUUGUUUCAACUAAUAUAUUUAUUGUUAUAAUAGAUAAACAUUUUCUUGCAACUCAAACAGUUCUGAUGGCAUGAUUUGCCAUCAAACGGCAACUUCGUUACAGACAAAAAGAGGGGUACAGUGCCCGGCGCACCGUAGGCGCAGCCUAAAAAGAUGAUUUAGUCUCUCCAAAUCUUAGCACUUUAACCAAAAAUAUAAUAAUAAUUCUUUACAUCAUCAUUCAUUGCACUUGUAAAUCUGAGGGAUUAGAAUUCUGUACUGAAUUUAUUUUUUAUUAAAUAAAAAAUUAAUGUUAAAAUUUAUUUUAUUUUAUUUUUUAUCUAACUAUCAUUGACUUAAUAUUUUGGAUCUUUAUCCAAAGUCAAGGCACAAAAUUUUUAUUCUAAAUAAAUAUUCUCAAUAUAAAUUUAUCACUUAAAUAAUAAAUGAUACGAUUUAAUAUUAAUUCUGUCGUCAUUACUAAAAUGAAUCACAAAUUUUACAUGACGUGUAAACGUAUCAUUAUGUUCUCGAUAUUUGACAUAUGAAUUAUAAAGCAACAAAUCUAUCAUAUUUUUAUUUCGGUAUUGUGCUUCUCUAAAUAUAACCCUCUCCAAAGCAGCAUAAUUCUUUUCAUUGUACCCAUUGCUUCACUUCCUCUUUUCGUCAACGACAAUGGGUAACUUAAUCUCAACCUUCUUACCAGCAGACUUAUUUGAUCGAACUUCAAACUGCGUUGGUGAACAAGCAAAAUAUGUAUGGGGCCUCGAAAAAAAUCUUCGGGUCUUGGAGACUGAAUUGCACAAAUUGACUCGAGCAAGGGCCGAUCUGAAGACCAAGGUUGAGAUCGAAGAACAACGACCUCGAACCAGACGAACGAACCAGGUCGCAGGGUGGCUUGAAGAUGUGCAAAAACUGGAAACUGAAUAUACCGAGCUGGAACGAGAUAGAGCUCAAGAAAUGGAUAGACUGUGCCUUGGAGGCCUCUGUUCCAAAAACUUCGUUUCAAGCUACAAUUACGGGACUCAGGUGGUCGAGUUGACGGAUCGAGUGAUCAAUUUAAAGAAAGACGGAGAAAAAAUUGAAGUCGUUGUUGAGAAGGCGCCGGAUGGUGCAGCAAUUGAAUUACCUCUUGAUCACACGGUUGUUGGUCAAGAACUAUUACUUGGUCAAGUUUGGAGAUGUAUCACUGAUCAGGAAAAGAAGAGGGGAAUUAUCGGCUUGUAUGGUAUAGGGGGAGUCGGCAAAACUACCCUUUUAAAACAAGUCAACAACAACUUCUGCCAUCAACAGCAUAAUUUUGAUGUUGUUAUCUGGGCGGCUGUGUCAACACUUCAAGAUGACAUUGGAAAAAGGAUUGGCUUUUCAGAAGACAGAAACUGGAAGGAAAAAAGUCUUCAAGACAAGGCUGCGGACAUCGCUAGAAUUUUAAGCGGAAAGAAGUUUGUGUUGUUAUUGGAUGAUAUAUGGGAACGCAUUGAUUUAACACAAUUGGGUGUCCCUCUUCAAAAACUAAAUGAUGGGUCCAAAGUAGUCUUGACAACUCGUUCAGCUGGUGUUUGCGAUCAAAUGGACGCUGAAAAGGUGGAAGUGUAUAGUUUGGCGCAUGAUAAAGCCUGGGAAUUAUUUCAGGAGAUGGUCGAUAGAUCCACUCUUGAUAGUCAUACCAGUAUUCCAGAGCUAGCCGAAGCCUUGGCAAGAGAGUGUGGUGGGUUGCCGCUAGCGCUUAAAACAGUGGGUCGAGCCAUGAAAAGCCAAAGGAAAGUUGGAGAUUGGAAACGUGCAAUUCACAAAAUGACAACAUCAGCUUCUAAAUUCUCAGGUAUGAAAGAAGAGGUGUUUUCGCGUUUAAAGUUCAGCUAUGAUAGUUUGUCUACGGACGAACUUCGUUCCUGUCUCCUGUAUUGUUGUUUGUACCCUGAAGACUCCGAAAUUCCUAAAAGGCAAUUGAUUGAUUACUGGAUUAGUGAAGGAUUUGUGUGUGAUUUUGAUGAUGGAUGCGAUUUUAUUGAUGACCUUCUUCAAGCAUGCUUAUUGGAGGAAGAAGGCGAUGAUCAUGUAAAGAUGCACGAUAUGAUUCGUGAGAUGUCAUUAUGGAUAGCGUGCACGGUAGACAAGGAGGAGCAGAACUUUCUGGUUCACGCUGGAGUUGAAUUGACCGAAGCACCAAAGUUUGAAGAAUGGGAAGGUGCCAAACGGGUAUCUCUGAUGGGAAAUGGAAUUAGGAGCUUAUCGGAAAUUCCCACGUGUCCGCGCCUCGUAACUUUACUUCUGGGUGGAAAUCGGAUUGAGGAGAUUACUGAUGGCUUCUUUCAAUCUAUGUCGACUCUUAGAGUAUUAAGUCUACGAAUAAAUAUUUCCCUAAGGAAACUACCCUCAGGUAUACGCGGGUUGCCGCAAGAGCUGAAGGCGUUGGAGAAGUUGAGAUAUUUGAACUUGGACUAUACACGGUUUUUGUCUAUAAUUCCACAUCAGUUGAUAUCUGGCUUUUCAAAGUUGGAGGUACUCAGGUUGUUUGGGUGCGGUUUUUGGGUUGUAACAGAAGAAGAAGGUAACGUUCUAUGUGAAGAUGCUGAACCUUUGAUGAAGGAAUUGCUGGGUUCGAAGCAUUUAAAUGUUUUAAGCUGGACCUUCCGAAGUUCACUUGGUGUCCAAAACUUUUUGAAAUAUCCAAAGCUGGUGAGCAUCACUCAAUCUGUAUUGG